UAAGCCACACUAAUUUAAGUUGGUAAUUUCAUAUAAGAGUCAAUAAAUUCGAAAAAUUAAAGAGUUAUUAAAAUAAAAAGUGGUUAAGUUAGUAAAAAAAAAAAAAUCAUAACUUCAUAAAUCAAUAAAUCAAAAGGUCCCGACUCAUUAUGUUUAUCAAUUGUCACUUACGGAUAUUUAUUACCAAAAGGAAUAUUGAGUUAAACCCUCGAGGAGAAACAAUUUAAAGGGGGAAAUAAAUCAUUUUUCCUAUAUCUAAUCCAUUAGGAAAUUGAGGAGAAAUUUCUUGGUGGACCUACAAAUUAUUGAUCAAGUUGCAAAGUGCGUACUUUUGUAGCUUGCGCGAAGCACGCCAACGAAUCAAAUUUCAUAUGAGUUGACUAUAGUGCCACGUCCUUUAUUUGCGCCUGCAACAUGUGAACUCCCCUUGAUGCUACCUGAUUAUCAGUUUUUUAGCAAAAAUAUAUUCUGCGUCAUGUUUGUCGACUCGUGGAAACUAAAGAAUUUCAAUGCAGCAUUCCGGGAGAAAAUUCAAAUGAUGAUGUUGCAUGAGUUUACAAACGGACUGGAAAAAAAAAAAUCAUAUUCUAGUAGUUCAAAUCGUGAAGAAAAUAAAGCAAAGCUGCAAAAAACAACAAAGAGAAACGAACAAACCCGCAUGAGGUCAGAGCGGAUCAACCAUUAGAUUGAAUUGGUCUUGUAUAUAUGGCGUCCUCAUGAUUUGAACGCUUUAGUUGUGGCGAACGAAAUGAUAAUUUUUAUUUUUUUUAUUUUUUUAUGUCUAUAGCUAUCACAUUGCUUUCGAAUUUAACCAUCAAUUAUCGAACUUCUCUUGCACUAAUAAUCAAAGAAUUAUAAUUAUGAUUGCUUGCAUGUUGGAGUGUUUCUUCCACCAAAGUUAAGUCCAAAUGCAUAGUAUUUACAAAUAAACAACUCAAAUUGAUGUAAAAAAAAUAAAGAUCAGAGUACAAAAUCACCUUAUGCAUUAUGGAGAGCACCUUUGUAUUUCACUAUGCAGUUUGAAGAAAGGGAAUCACUAAACGUUUUUUAAAGACAACGGUAACUUUUGCCCAAGUGACAAAGGUGACUUCCUUAUUACUUUAGCGAUCGGAAAUUUCCUAAUUAACAUCGAGUCGGGUUUCCUUAAUUGGCUUGGACUCUAGAGAUUAUAUAACAAAUGUUUCUCAAAGUGAAAAGGAGCAUAGAUCAUUACUUGAAUGCGUGAUUAAAAAAGGGAAAAGAAAGAAUAAAUAACAUAUAGUCUAAAAAGGAAAAAGGAAAAGGAAAAGGAAAAUAAAAUUUAAAAUUAAGGAAGUGAAAAUGAAAAGCUAUCAACCGGAGGCUCGUGAAGACAGAACCACUCUAUCAGCACCGUACAAAGCGCGGGUCCACGUGCCCCCCACACGAAUGAACGGUCGGGAUUAAGUGGGCUUUGUAGUGCCUGUUUAGUAAUCCUCCUAUUCUUUUUAAUUUUUUUUGUUAUUUUGUUCCUCGGAGUAGAAAAAGAACAAAAAUUUGUUUGAUAACAUUAACUAAUUUUUCUACUCCUUGGAAUAAAAAAAUGAUUAGAAAAUAGAUUUGAAAUAAAAAUAAGAAGUGAAAAAAACUCUACUUCUUUAUUCUCAGAAAUAAAAAUGGUAAAAUCAGAAAGGUAAAUAUUACCCAACACUCCUGGUGCAUGCAAGACUGACUCGAGCAAGAAAAUUCUCGCCUGCACUGGGAGUAACUAGUACAGUUUGAUUUAUCAGAGAUUGACACGUGGUGUCAAAAUCGAGCAUCCAAGAAGACGUAAGCAAUGAUAUAGCAUCUCAAUAUUUAGAACGUUGUCUUCUUACUCCCCAACUUCUAAUUUGGAAUGCUCUAAUUAUAGUUGUUGAGAAAGCUAUUAUAAUUAAGGGAAAUGGAAAUAUCAUUAGCAUUUUCGGGAUAAGUUGUAUUACAUUAGGACAUACCUCGUGAAAAUGCCUAUAGGGUUUCCUUAAUAAUUCUUAUUGUGUUCUUGGACUUAACGAAAAAAAUAAGGAAAACUAAAACAUACACUGUUGAAUAAAAAAAUCAUUACACGAACAAUUUUAUCCACUCUUAAGUUGCAUUUGUUUCAUGAAUAGCUCAAGAUUUAGAAAACAUUUGAUGUGAAAAGGAUCGUUUCUAUCACUUACAAAAAUGAUCGGAAGCAAAUAUUUUCAUUACUCAAAAAAAUAGUUAGGCAUAAAUUGUUGUCCAUAAUGAAAAUAUUUUCCGUUGACUAGUUUUUCUAAUAUAACCAAUUAUUUUUCUGAAAAUACUUUCUAAAUUAUUCAUUUUUAAGAAACAAAUGGAAUCUUAAUAUAGAAUUUCAACCACUCGCUCUCUUAUGAACCAUUAAAUCAAAUGGUAGAAAAGGCUGCUUCUAAAAUAUCCUUUUUUAAAAAAAAAAAAAAUCUUCGGAAUAUACUGUAAUUAGUCAAUAAAUAAAAUGUACUUAGAAAUGCUUGCUUGCUUGCUUAUCUAGUGUGAAAACAUUGGACGAGUCUUUUCAAAGGCAGGCAUAAUGUUAUUCAACAUCCGCCAUAUCGAUGCGGAAAUGUUUUCUAAUUCCGUAUUUUGUAGACUCCUUUGUAAAACCUAAGCGCCGGAAUUUUCCGACCUUGCCAAUGUCAACGGGUUGACUUUGCAAAUUAAAGGUGCCCCCGGGUGUGCAACUUCUCAUCAUCUAUGAAAUAUCUAGCAAUUACGUUCACAUAUGUUUUGAUUGCAUCACUAAUUCAAUAAUUUCAAGAACUUAUUAUAGAUGACGGUAGAGAGAGACACGUUGAAUAUAUUUUCGGUGCAAAUAGAUGUUUGAUUGUCAACGGUACACAUUUAUAUUAAAAUUUAUAACAUGGACCAAUAAUUGCGAUAUGAACGGAAUUUUUUUGACUUUUUUUUUUAUCUCAUUCUAUAAAAAAUCGAUUUUUUUUUUGGCACAAUGAGAACUUGCAUUCUCAAAUUAUCUCAGAGGGAUCUACAGUCAUUAUGAAAAUUCUAUUAUCCUUACGAUUAGUAUAUUCCUUAGAAACGAAAGAAACAACAAAAUCUCGUCAUUUACUUAUUCUGCUUUCUAUCAAAAAAUAAAAGGAAAAAGAAACUUAUUGUUUACUAAGAUUAUAGGCUAUACUUUUCAUUAUCUCAAUGGCUUCCCAGAUUUGAAGUGUUUGAUAUUGUUUGAGAGUCAAAUUAAGAGAAGUAAAAGCAAAAACCCAAAGGAAAAGCCAAACUUAUCCUUGUCUUUCCAAGGUCCUUUGGCAAUAAUAUCAGUGAGUAUCAACAUGAUCCCUAAAUUAUUAUUAAUCUCUCGACUCAUAAUUUCAUUUUUGUCUAAUGCUUCGUUUCUUUCAUGGAAAAGGGAAUGAAUCAAAAAAUAUUUUCUUAAAAAUAACCGAUCGUAUCGCUUGAAAUAAUUAGUUAUGUCUAAAUAUUUUUAUGGACGAUAAAAGUAUUUUUUUUGUUCAAUCAUUUUUUGCAAGUGACUUAAGUAAUCAUUUUUAAAAAUAUAUAUAUUUUUCAAAUUAUUUAUUUUACUUGAAACUCUUGCUCUAUUUAUUUUAUGAAAAAUAAAUGAUUUGGAAAACAUUCUCUUAAAUAUGAUCACUUGUAUCAUUUACAAAGAUGAACGGAAGAAAAAUAUUUUCAUUGUUUAUGAAAAAUAUUUAAACAUAAAUUGUUGUCGAAAACAAAAUCAUUUGCUAAUCACUAAUUAUUUCAAGUGAUAUAACUAAUCAUUUUAAAGAAAAUAUUUUUCAAAUUUGACAUUUUAUGCCAAACAAGCUGAUCACGGAAAGAGAUUGAUCCUAUUCACUUAAAAGAGUUUAAUGAAUACAAGUGUAAAGUUUCAGAGCAUAAUAAAUCAAACAGGGUAGGUAGGGACAGGUGUGCUCGAGUGAAAUGUCCGGUCGGGACCAGUUAGGACAAGCGUGCUCGAGUGACUCAUAGCUAAGAUCCACCUCAAACGGUUGCCGACUUGCAAGGACACUAUUUUGCUUUUUAAAAAUUCUGCCUGUGGAGGUGGCUUCUUGCCUUCUUGAUUCUAGCUUUUAAUGGAUCAGAUGACGCAAGUGCAGGUCACGUAGGCAAAUGAUUUUAUGCUCUGAAACUGAGCCCGUUGACUCUGUGUUAGAUAAAAGAAUUAUAAACCUGGUGAGUUGGAUAGGUAUGAAGACGCGCUUUUUGUUUCUUAUAUUCUAACUCUUGUGAAUUUUCUAUAGCAGUUCUAGCAGAUACACAUAAUUUCCAAUACCUAAAUUAAUAGGUGGAAAAAGUCAAAACACCAGCUUUAUUCACAUUAAUUCAAGUAUCCACAAAUAUAAGUUAAAAUGAUAUAUGUUUAGACAUGUUUGGUUGUAUAGAUUUCUAGCCAUGAUAGGAUCAAAUAUGAUAUAAUAUGAAAUUAAGAGAUUUUGCUAUAUCUUAUUUACUAUUUGGUAAAUCACAAUGAUAAAUUUGGAUAAUUUCACAUCUUAUCCAGUUUGUAAUUUGGUAUGAAUGGCAUAUUAGUGUAAAUUAAACAUAAAAUCUGCAUAAAUGAAGAUAAUAACAAUCUCUCAUUUAUUUGCUUUUUUUUUUAAAUUAUUUUUCAUCACUUUUUUAGUUGUUUGCUUUUUUAUUUCUUUUUUCCCUUUCCAUCUUUAUCUAAUAAAAAAUUACUAAAUAGUAAGCUAUACCAAUAUGCCUAAAAUUACUAAAUAUAUAUUUAUAUAUUAAAUUUACAUUAUAUGAUAGAUUUUUUUUGAAUUUUUAAAUAAAAAGGAAAUUAUUGUUAUUUUAAAAAAUUACAUUAGAAUUCAAAUAUUAUUUAUAUGCAAAUAUUUUAACUUUAUUAAUUAAGAAGCUUGAUAUUUGUAAAAAAAUAACUUUUAUAUUAUAGAUAUUAAAAAUUUGAUCCACCUUUAUCGUACCUUCUCAUGUGAUAAUAUUAUAUGGGUUACAUCCCUCUUAUAUCUGAGUUUAUCUUGUCUUGGGCAUGCAUCAAACACGGGAUAAGAUAAAUUUUAUUAUGUCCUUAAUUUUAUCCUAACUAUCAAAUGUAGCCUUAGGUAACAUAUUUAAAAAGCACAAAAAACGUGGGAGAAAAUGGCUAAAGAGAAAAGGAAUGCAAAGAGAGGGAAAAUUGUCCAAAAAUUCUUAAACAUAUUGUAUUUUUUCCAUUUCAAUUUAAAACAUUGCUAUUUUAUCAAUUAAGUUCUAAACUUUUUGACAAUUUGUCAAUCAAGUCAAUUUAACCAAUUUUGGCAAAAAAUUGUUGAUGUAGAUGUCGGCUAUCUACGUAGCAUUGUCGACGCUAACGUAAACAUUUUUAAAAAAUUUUGAAUUUUUCUAUUUUUUAUGUUUUCUCUGUCUUUCCUUUUUGUUUUUUGUUUUCUGGAUUGAGGGCUAUUGACCAUCACCGGCACAAAGCCCUCACUAGCCACUUGGCAAGGGCUCGUUGCCCUCAUAGUUGGCCGAUGAGGGCUUGGUGGCCCUCACCUGGUGAGACUUGUGAUGCAUCACCAAAUCAAGGCCAAGUGAGGGCGUCAUAGGCAAGGGUUGGUGUGCCCUUGUUAGCCUCAAUCCAAAUGCCAAAAAAAGAAAAAAAUGAAGAAAAAAAAAAGAAAAAAAUGAAGAAAUUAUAAAAUUUAACAGAUUAUUAAAAUAUUAUUAAAAAUGUUUGUGCUAACAUCGUUUGUGCUAUGUAGGAUGGUUGAAGCUAACACCCAUAAAAGCAAUUUCAAGCCAAAAUUGACCAGAUUGAUUCAAUUGACAAAAUGUAAAAAUAUUUUUGACUCAAUUAAUAAAAUUAAAAGUUUAUAACUAAAUUGUCAACAGUACACAUAAAUAUUAAAUUAAUAUAAAGCCACAAAAAAAUCUCAAAUUAUGCCUACCAUGACAUAUUUAUCUUGAUUUUUUUUUUGUUGACAUUAAAAUUCCUAAACUAAGCCAAUUGUGAUGUAUUUACCCUAAACAUUUUGCUAUGACAUAAAACAUCUCAAGCUUGUAUUAUCCAACAUAUUUACCAUUCAUCAAGGUUGAUUUUUCAGGCAAAGUAAUGUCGUUUUUGUUUCACUUAAGUUACGUUGGUGCCAUAUUAACAAUAUUUACUUUCUAGUGUCCAUGUAGGCACAUGUACAAGUUUGAGAUUUUUUGUAUAGCAGAAAUAUAUUUAGAGUAAAUGUGUUAUAAUUGGCGUAAUUUAGGAUUUUUGGUGGCUUUUGUUCUAUUAAAUUUUACACUAUGCCCUAAUAAUUGUGAAAUGUUUAAUUACUCGGAUGUAUCAAUGGAAUCUUUCAAUAUUUUCAGCUGAUGAUUCCAUCAAAAAUCGAUUUUUUUGGGCACAACAAAGAAUUGUGUUAUUGAAUUGUCUUAGAGGGAUCGAUAGUCAUUGUGGAAAUUCUAUUUUACCUGUUAUUAGUAUCUUCCUUAGAAAGAAAAGAAAUAGUACAAUCUCGUAAAUUACUUAUUCUGCUUUCCGUUGAACAAAAAAAGUAAAAAGAAAAAACUUAUUGUUUGCUAAAAUUAAAAGCGAUACUCGUUUCAUUAUCUCAAUGGCUUCCCUGAUUUGAAGUGUUUGAUAUCGAUUGAGAGUCAAAUUAAGAGAAGUAAAAGCAAAAACCCAAAGGAAAAGCCAAACAUAUCCUUGUCUUUCCAAUAUCUGUUGGCAAUAAUACAUCUGACUAUCAACAUGGUCACUAAAUUAUGAUUAAUCUCUCGACUUAUUAAAAUUUCAUUCCUUUUCUUAGGCUCUAAUUAUUUCAUGGAUAAUAAAUGAUUUGGAAAAUAUUUUCAUAAAAAUGACCAUUUGUAUUGUUUGAAAUAAUUAGUUAGUGAAAAUGUUUUCAUUAUUAACAACAUUUUAAAUCUAGGCAUUUUUAUGGACGAUAAACAUAUUUUUCGUUCGAUAAUUUUUGUAAAUAAUUCAAAUGAUUUUUUUUUAAUGCAAAGAAAGCACACCCUUAAUUCAACUUUUAUUUUUUUGCAAUUGAUGAAUUGGUCAGUCGAGUGACUCCUAGCUAAGGUCCAUCUCAUAUGGUUGUUGACUUGGAUGGAUACUAUUUUGCUUUUCAGAGGUUCUGCUCGUGGAGGUGGGAUCUGCUUGUUGCCUUCUUGAUUCUUGAUUUUGAUUGAUGAAAUGACACAAGUGCAGGUCACGUAGGCAAAUUAUCUCAAUCACGUUCGAAUUUUUCCUUAUUAAACAAAAGUGAGCACAUUGACUCUAUGUUAGAUAAAAGAAUUAUAAUAGUGUAGUCAUAAUUUACAUUAGUUAUCUACUACAGGAAGAAACGAGAGAGAGAGAGAGAGAGAGAGAGAGAGAGAGAGCUGCUUUCUCGAAGUGAAGUCAUGUGCAUGCACAAUGCGUCUUGGGCUUGAUUACCUCUUGAAAGCGGUAUUUUUAAGGCUUUGAGAGCUUCUAAAUUUCAAAGUAGGCUAGAGUUCGGUUGCUUAUUUACUUAAAGUGAACCUCAAACCCUCCACAAUCAGCAUCAUCUCCAGCAUCUACGCCACAUAUACGCACAAUUAAUCCAUGGUCAAAUUGUAUAAUUAACUUCUCUCUCUCUCCCUCUCUCUCUCUCUCUCUCUCUCAAAACAUACAAAUGCUAUUGUUCUUGAGAACCAUACUGAAGUCGAUUAAUGUACAUAGCAUCGUUGGCCACACUUUCACAUGGAGGUCCAAUCUUUUGCGCAAUACUAGAUAUAUUUAGGUCAGUCUUAUAUGUGUCUGAACAUUAUUUUUAAUGUAUUGCCCUUUAAGUUCCGUACUCAUGUAGGUUGCACGUAUUUUCGCCUUCGCAAUUCUAGGCGGAAACUUAGCAAUUACAUUGAGAGAAUCUAUUUAUAUGAAAUUGCAAAUAUGAUGAAUUAUACACUUAGGCUAUGUUUGGUUGUUUAAAUUUUAGUCGAAAUAGAAUUGAGAAUGAUAAAAUAUGAAAUUUAGUGAUUUUGCUACAUCUUAUCAUUUAUUUGGUAAAUCGUAAUAAUAAAUUCGGAUACUUUUAUAUUCUAUCCUGCUUGUUAUUUGGUGUGAAUCACAUAUCAGUUUAAAUGAAUUUAAAAAUUGCACAAAUGAAGAUGGUAAUAAUCUUUAAAUACACUAUUACCCAAUUCAUUUCUAUUUGCUUAUAUUUUUAUUAUUUUUCCCUCUCUUAUUUAUUUAUUUAUUUAUUUAUUUCAUUUUUCCUCUUCCAUCAUUCUCUAAUAAAAAUUUAUUAAAUAGUAAACUAUACUAAUAUACCUAAAGUACAUAAUAAAUAUAAAUAUUAGAUAUAUAUUUAUAUAUAUUGAAUUUAUAUUAUAAGAUAAAAAGAAAUUUGAAUAUAUGAAUAAAUAUAGGAAUAUAUAAAAAGGAAAUUGUUGUUACUUUUUUGUUAUGUGACUUUUUUUAUAUUAUAAUUCAAAUAUUAUUUAUAUGAAAAUAGCAUUUUAAUUUUGUUAAUUACAUAAAUUUGUUAUUCGAGAAAAUUAACUUUGAUAUUAUGAAUAUUAGAAAUUCUAUGCAUAUUAAUUUGACCUCCCUCAUAGGAUAAUUUUAUUUGGGUUAAUAUCCCUCUUAUAUCCAAUUUUAUGUUGCCUUGAAUAGACACCAUACACAUUUUAUCUUAACUACCAAAUGUAACCUUAGGUAACAUAUUAAAAAAGCACAUUAACCCUAAGGGAAAACGGCUAAAGCGAAAAGGAAUGCAAAGAGACAUGAUAUCUUUUAAUUAAAAUAACCAAAGUAAAAGAAAAUUCUAUUGGGUUAAAAAAAAUUGGAAAAAAAAAAGAGGACCCAAGGGAACAUAAAUGAGGACAAGGAUAUUGAAUAGUGUAGUCAUCAUUUACAUUAGUUAGCAACUACAGGAAGAAACACGAGAGAGAGAGAGAGAGAGAGAGAGAGAGAGAGAGAGAGAGAGAGAGAGAGCUGCUUUCUCGAAGUGAUGUGCAUGCACAAUGCGGGUGUCUUGGGCUUGAUUGCCUCUUGAAAGCGGUAUUCUCUAAAUUUCGAAGGAGGCUAGAGUUUGGCUUGCUUAUUUUAUUUAAAUUGAACUCCAAACCCUCCACAAUCAGCAUCAUCUCCAGCAUCUACGCCGCAUAUACCCACAAUUAAUCCAGUCAAAUUGUAUAAUUGACGUCUCCCUCUCCCUCUUUCACAAAAAUAUAAAAAUGCCAUUGUUCUCGAGAAGCAGUUUAAAGCCCAAUAAAGUACAUAGCACCGUUGGCCGCAUUGUCACAUGGAGGUCCAAUCUUUUGCGUAAUGCUAGAAAUAUUAAGACCGGUCUUGUAUGGGUCCGAACAUUAUGUUUAAAAUUAUCGCCUUGGAGCUCCGUACUCAUGUGGGUUGCUUGUAUUAUAAUUUCAUCUCCGCAAUUCUAGGUAGAAAAUUAGCAAUUACGACGAGGGAAUCUAUGCAUAUGAAAGUGCAAACACGAUGAAUUGGAUGGAUGUUUUGAGUAGCUGGACAAACAAAAUCGAAAGCCAUGAAGAUUGAAGACCUCUAGGGAAGGCUUCAAAUGGUGAAGGUGUCCACAUUAGGGCAGACAGCACAUGCGUUUUCGUUCUCCCUUAUUAUUUUAUCUUAGGGUAUGACGACUUUGAGUUGAACACCUCUCCCUUUGGUCCCGGUAGGUUCCGAUAUCAGGAAAUUGGUUGCUCAUCGAAAUUGGACAUAGUUAAAUCUUCCAUUUUUUUAAUAAGCACAAUUUUUAAAAAAAAUGUGACAUUUUUCAAUUUUAAGUAUUAAUUACACAUAACAUGAUGAAAAUGGUUUACGUAAAAUUGCAAACUUGCUUUCAAUGACUUUUUAACAAAACACACCCUUCGAAUUUCUGUUGAACAAACAUAGGUGUCACACGUGUCAUUGUUCAAUCAGUUAGAAUAAUGAUAUCAUUCCAACUCUCUUUACUGCUGAUUUGCUUUUGAAGACUUUGCAUUAGUAAUAUCUAUAGAUACCAUCCAUUCAUGUGCAUCGAGUAAAAAUCCAUUUAUUAUGUAAUGGGCUUAAUCUCCAGGGUAGUACGAGUGAAAGAUGUUUAUGAUUCAAAUUAAGAUUUCGCUAUGUAUAGACCGAAUGAUUUGACUACUAAGCUAUUCUCUCAAGGAUUUAGUAAUGCAUUAGUUAAGUAGUUCUUGGGCAAGAAAAAUGUGCAUCAAUUAAAUUAUUUGAUGCUCUGAUGCUCGGACGUACGGAACACAAAACUAAAUAAUAUCUCUAAUACCAAAUGACGCUGGGAUGUGUUGAACGAACAAAUAAAUAAAAGGGUUUUCCGAUCUUGGCAAGGUUAAAAACUUCCUAGGAUAGGAAGGGAGAAACUAGAUAACAAAAAUUCCCGUUAGCCGAGUCCCCACAUUGGUAGGCCACUUCAAGGAAGCUUAGGAAUCCACCAUAAGGGGCAGAGAGAUAAACAAAGAGAAGAUAGCUAGAAACAUGACCAGGGACAACCUUAUUCAAUAAUUCAAUUGUGUUCGACAAUGAAAGAGCCAUGGGAUAUUUAUAGCUGAGAACUAUGAUCCCUUUGAAUAAUAACCUCCAAAUAAAGAAAAAAAUAAUCUGCCUAAAGUUGUAAAAUCCCCAAUUCAGAUUAAAACAAUCCUAAAAUAAUAUAAAAAACUAACUUGCAGAUCGAGAAAACAUAUAUUAUCCUCAUUGUCUAAUAGCAAGAGAUUAUCUCGUUUGUAAUUAAAUUCUAACAACAUGGGCUGGGUCCAUUAGCAAUAGAAACAUUGGGGACCUGAAUAAAUACAAUCAAGUAUUACAAAUAUCCGAGUAACAAAAUAUACAAUAAAAUUCUUGUAGUAAUUGCUAAAGAGAAUAGCCUACUUCCCAUAAAAAAGGACUUCAUUAAAGCAAAAUAUAAUUAAAUUUUUGGUAGACAUUGCCAAAGAAAACAGCCUACUUCCCAUAUAGAAAUACUUACAUUAUAGCAAAAGGUCAGCCUCCAAAUGUGUUUGCUUCUUUUCCCCAUUUUCUGGUUCUUCCUCGAGCCCAUUUGGUUUUCAAGAGAUGGUUCGAGCAAAAAGCCACAUGACCCAGCCCAAGUCCACAGUACACACCACCUUCCCAAGGAAAAUCCUUCUGUUUUGCUGCCCAGAAUUGGAAGCUUCAUUGAACUUUUGCUCCAUCAUUUCCUGAGUGCACAAAUCUGAUAAGGUUGAUCUUCUGGAACAAAGCAUUCGAGCUUUGUUUCGAACUAAUACCCGAGUUCAAUGGUGUCAUGAGAUUAGUUAACGCUUUCUGUGCAGUCUUCUCGCCAAUUUGGUUCACUGUCCUCAUGCCGCUUCCGAGUUAUGAUCUAUACUCCAGCUCGUGUCACCUCUUUCAUAGUAUUCUUAGCCUGUUAAGUUACCGUUACACGACAACAUUAGCUACAAUGACUCGUGCUAUCUUUUUGCUUGUUGCAGUUUCUUCCGUUUAUCUCACUUCUUCUCUAUGUUCCCAUACGGAAAAAUAAAUGAACCGGAGCUCCAGAUUUGAUGCAAAACACCUCAAGAGGAGAUUCACACCAUGAUUUUCCCGUGGCACUCGUCUCUCGGUAUGUUCUCAGGUCGAUUAUCCACAGCUUCCUUGAUUCUACUCAUCGAGUCAUUCGAGAUAUAAGAACUUCGAACAAUAGCAUCGUUAUGACAUCUUAAUGAAAAAGACAGAAAUAACCGCAACUUAUUGGGGCUAUUCAUUCAUGGAAAAUGCUUCAAGGAUGGAGCUACUCCGUGGCCUCUCUCAAUUGCUGCUCACUUGGCUAUCCUACCACUGCUUUGCCAUGUUCCUCGAUCUCAAUCUAGUUACAUCUGCAGAAGCGACCUUUAUAUUUUUGUCCUUUUAUGGAAAAUUGGAUUCAUUGCAAGCUUAAGUGCAACAUCAUUAUUGCAAAAUAAAAUGAUUGGUUUCUUUAUCUAGACACCAAGGCUGCAUUUGGUAGUCCGGAUUUGAGUCUAGAUAUGAUAAUUUGUUAUCCUAUCCAAUGUUUAGGAAUGUCCACCGGAUCGGACAAACCCGGAUACAUCUGAAUAAAACGCCGGAUAAAAAAUCCGGGGGAGGGGGUGGGAUAAGCUCGGAUUGGAUAAGAAAUUUAUUUUAAGGAAAGAAAGAACUUAACAAAAAGAGAAGAUAUCGUAAGCAUCUACGUCAAAUGGAUGCCUCCGCCUCUCUGAUUCAUUGUCAGCCCUCUUCUUCCACUUCUUCUCCCAUCUUUGCAUCUUGCCAUUUUCAAUGGUGGCCACUGCAGAGGUGGCCACAAUUCCUAGAUCUAGGGCUUUUCCACGGCCUUUAAUUAAUUGAAUUAUCUAUUUUUUAAUUUUUUAAUUUAAUUGAAUAUCAUAUUUAUUUUUUAAUCUUAUCCUGAAGUGCGCCAAACACUUGAUAGGAUUAGAUAUGUCCGCUUUUAUUAUCCAGAGGAUUUGAUAUCCUACUUUAUCCUAUCCUAUCCUGAUUAUUAUCCCGACGACCAAACGUAGCCUAAGAUCUUUUGAGUAAUCCUCUUAUCCAAACUAUCUUGCAAUUGGUCUUUUCCAUUGCCGAUAUUCCACUUUAGCAGAUGAUAAUGAAAUGGUCAACUGUUUCUUUGUUUUCGAAGAGAGUAAUGAGUCGCUCAAUUUGAUGCAGAAUCCUGUAACAGACUUUCUACUAAUGGGACAAGUAAGAUAAUCAGUAUCAUCAUAUACUGUCAUCUCCAUGUUAUUAUCACGGGACAAUAAUAUCCUUAAACCUGGACAUCCUUUCAAGUGCUUCAUGACUUUCAGUGCGGCAUUUAUGUGAGACUACUUUGGAUUUUGCAUGAAUUGGUUGAGGAUCUGCACUACAUAGUAUAUGUUAGGUUUUGUUAUGAUUAAGUAUGUGAGUUCUCAACAAGUCUCUGAUAAACAAAAGGAUCUUUGAGUAAAGGAUCCUCAUUCAAGGGUGAUAAUCCCUUGUCAUACUCGGCUAUUGUCAAUUUAACAUUCUGAUCAAUUAGGAUAACAAUUGGUUUGGAUCCUAAUAGCCCGAUUUCUAAUAUCUCUAAGACAAACUUGUGUUGGCUAAGAUGGAUUACCUUAUCUGAUCAUGCAAUCUCUAUCCCAAGGAAGUAUUUGGCAAGUCCCAAUUCCUUAAUGUGGAAGGUAGAGUGUAAAUAUUCCUUAAACUUCUCAAUGACAUUUUCAUCAUUACCCAUAAUAAGUAUAUCAUCAAUGUAUAUGAACAAAUAAAUUGAUGAUGCAACUUGACUCAAUGUGAAUAAAGCAUAGUCAUGUCUGGAUUGUCUGAAUUUGACAGCUGUAAGUGCAUUGAUAAAUUUGGCAUACCAUUGACAAGAAGCCUAUUUAAGCUUGUAUAGAGAUUUUACGGAGACAACAUACUGUAUUCUCCCUUUGUUUGCGUAAUCUCGAUGGAAGUUCUAUGUAAAUUUCCUCUUUGAGAUCACCAUGAAGAAACGCAUUAUGAGCAUCUAUUUGAUGAAGGGGCCAAUCAUGAAGAGCAGCAAUAGAAAUGAAAAAAAUGAACUAUGACUUCCUUCGCUACUGGAAAAAAUGUUUCGGUGUAAUCAAAGUCUUCCCCUUGAAUAAACCCAUUUGCCACCAAUUGUGCUUUAUAAUGCUCAAUAGAGCCAUUUGCCUUGUAUUUGAUCUUGUAAUAUCCACUUGCAGCCAAUAGAUUUUCAAUGAGUCAAUAUAGGAACCACAUCCCAAGUCUUAUUUUCCCUAAGAGCUUGCAAUUCAUCCGCCAUUGCUUGCUACCAACAAGGAUCUUGUACAACUUCUUUGUAUGAAGAUGGUUCCUGUCCUUCAAAUAUUCUACUAAUGCAACACCUGUGUUUAUGUGAAAGAUGAGCAAAACUAACAUAGGAUGAGACAAGAUAUUGUGUACCAGACUUCAUUGUGGGAAAAAAAUAAUUGGCUGUCCAUGUGGGUUAUCAUGUAGUACGAAUGGAACGUCAAGGAGCAAUUGGUGUGGCAGAGGGACAUUCCCAUGUGAUUCAAGAGAGAUAUUAGCCGAAGACGUUGGAGGUGAAGAAGCUAUAGGAGAUGCUGAUGUCACUUCCUCUAAAAUACGUAGAGCCAUAUUUUUUAUAUUUGAUGGUGAGGCUGCAUCAUACUUAGAAGUUGAAGAUGCCAUGGGAGAUGAUAUAUGUGGAGUCACCAUUGGUGGAGGAGUGGAAAUAUCUUCUUUAGUUAAAAAUGGGUGUGUUCAAAAAUUGUACCAUUUUGUUGAUAAGAAGAUGACUCUUCUUGGAAAGGGAAAACAUCUUCACAGAAGAUAACAUCUCUACUGACGAAGAAGCAUCUGACAAAAAGAUUAUAUACCAAAUAACCCUUUUGAAUAUUAGGGUAUCUCAUAAAUGCAUAUUUAAUGCAUGAGGUCCCAAUUUGUCUCAUGGGCCCAUGGUGGACACAUAACACAAAUAGCCAAACACAGGAAGGUGGCAAAUAUCUGGAUUUUUCCCAAAAAACAAUUUGAAUGGAGUUCUUCCAUUUACCACACAAUCUCGCCAGAGCAUGUCAGGUAAAGAAGCUUGGUAUUUAAGGGCAUAAGCAACUUCUAGGAGAUGACGAUAUUUUCUUGUAACAACACUAUUUUAUUGAGCGGUAUAUAUACAAGAACUUUCAUGGAGAAUGCCCUUUGUAGUGAAUAGUGUAGAACAUUCAUGAUUAAAAAAUUCAUGGGCAUUAUCAAUACAAAUUCACUACACUGGGUGAUGAAACUGAUUCUUAACAAGGGUGAGAAAAACUUUAAGAUAUGAAAGGAUUUGUGCUUUGGAUUACACAAAAAAUAACCGAGUUGCUCGAGUAUAAUCAUAUACGAUUGUGAGAUAGAAAUGAGAUGCAUCACAGAAGGGAGUGUAGUGUGGUCUCUAGAUGUUCAUAUGUAGAAGAGAAAAAGACAUGUUGGCACGAGAACUACUUUGUGGAAAGGGUAAUUGUGAUUAUUUAGCUAAAGGGCAGACUUGACAUUUUGGAUGAAGGAAAGAGGUACUGCGGCCUAAACACUGAUGAGAUAAAAUAUUUUCAUUAAUGCUAGCAAUACAUAAAGUGCCUUUAUUCAAAGGAAAAUACAACAUUAAAAUUUUCAAGAAGAGUAGCCCGAAAAUAGAGUCUCUCAUGAUUGUUACCCAAGCCUAUAAGUUUCCCAAUCGAAAAGGCCUAAAAGGACUAGAUGUCAAAAUUAAAAACGACUCGACAAGAGUUGUCUUUAUAGAGCUUGGAUAUAGAGAUGAGAUUAAACUGGAAGUUGGGAAUGAGUAAGGCAUUUUUGAGAUUGAUGGAGGGAGUAAGCUGAAUGUCUCCAAUUUUGGUAACAAAAAUGUCAUCUCUAUUAGGAAGACGUAUUGAGGUAUGAAAAGAUGAUUCAUGAAUUUUGGAGAAAAAAUGUUUAUCGUAGACUAUAUGGUCACCAGCACCUGAAUUAAUAAUCCAUAACUUACUUGAAAUAGAGCUUGAGCAGUGAAAGUACCUGCAUAGCUAGUCAUGGUAUCAUAUGUGUCUAGCUGGCUUAGAGCUCUCAUUAUCUACUAAAGUUGAUCCUUACUGAUAGGCUAAGUAACCUUGGCAUGUGUCGCAAUAGAGAUGUCUCACUCAUUCUUUUAUUUGUCCAUUAGUUUUCCAUGUAAUUUCCAGCCAUUUUCUCGAGUAUGAUAAGGGCAUUUGCAAAAAUAACAUAAUUUAGUUUUUCCUUUGUUGAAAUUAUGUGAUUUAUUAGAGGAUGUGGAGGAAUUUUGCCCAUUAGAUUCUCUCCACGCUGGAGCUAACAUGGCAUGAUGUGAGUUGUACGAUCGAUUAGCUGUAAGGAUGAAGCCUGAGUCGUCAAAUCACAUGGGGUAAUAUGAGCCGUCCGAUCGUGUGACCAAAUCAAAACCGUUCAUCCCUAAAUUUGGUCAUUUGCGACUUGAGCCGUUGGAUCUCUCUCAAAGCCAUCUCGUUUGUCCAUUUGAAAAUAAGGUGAUGGUUUGCACUAGUCCUUCCUCCCUGUGCCUUUGAGAUGGCCAUGAUUGGAUCGGACCUUAUCACAAGCAGGUGUUGGUCCAAUGUCAACUUAGUUGCAGGGACAACCUUAUUACUAACUUUGAGAUACUCCAACAAGAUCAACCGCUGCAAUUCCUUUUCAUCGCGAGCUGGUAAAUUCGACCAAGGGAAGGGACUGGCUCCAUGGCAAGGAUUUGACUACGAAAAGGUAAGUUUUCUCUCUAAUGGAUUGCUCAAUAUUGAGCUAGGGUUUCCUCCGGCCUUGGUAAUUUUUCCUAGGCUUCCUCCAAUUCAUUUAAUAGUGUUGAUAGUCAAUUCAAAAUUACAGAAAUCGACAUAUUUACUUGCUUUAGCUCCGAUUGGGCUUGGAUUAUUGAGAAUAUCUUAGCCCUAUUAAGCAUCUCGUACAUUUCCCAUAUGCUUUCCCAAAAUUUUUGGGCAUCUUCAGUCAGGGGUAGUUCGAUGAUCACUUUGGGAGAGAUGGUGUUGCCAAUCCAUGUUCGUACCAACUGGUUGCACCUCCUCCAAUGUCGCAUGAGGCACUCAAUGAUCGGAAUGGGGAUAGACUUGUCGAUGAAGGCUUUUUUGUCCUUUGUGGUCAAAGCUCGCUAGAGCUCUUGAGACUAGGUGGUGUAAUUCUCCAGUCUUGUAAGUUGUUGGGAAAUCAACUGGAGCUCGAGAUUGUCAAAGGCAAUCAUGUACAAGCGAUCUCCCAACAUUGGUCGACUGCCAGAGGCUCUUAUGAAGAGGAAGAAACCAAGUUUGAAUCCUAGAUAAGGGAUACCUAUUAGACUCAAACCGGCCUAGUUCCGAUACAACCAACCCAUGUCAGAUGCUGGGUUAUGCCUAGUGGCAAAAGUUGGGCCUCCUCUUAACUCAACACUUGGUCCACUAUUUUUUGCAUAGGCCUUUUUCGCAAUGCCAUAACACUCUAGGUGGGUUGGACUUGAAUGGGGAUCCAUUGCACAUAUGGUUCCUUAAGAAAAUGCCUUGUAUUAGGAUGAUUUGGGUCUGGCGCCCUUCGUUGGGCCAUAUUCAGCUCCCUUCUACAAUUUGGUUUUCAUCUAUAGGGGGUGAUUACCUAUCCAAGGGUAAGUUUUCCAUUCCUUGAUUGUUGGAAAAAACUUCUAAGUCCCGGGUCAUUUCGGACUUUGAGGCUUGAUUUUUGGGCAUGAUUUCUCCUUUUGUGAAAAUGGAAUGAGCAAAAAAUAGUCUUCAUAGGUUAUGUGUGAAGAAAGUCAAAGGUGGAAGAAAUUCUGUAGCUUGGAUAGAAAAAGGCAAUGGUAACUUAGAAAAAGGCGAUAGAAAAGGCUUUGAGGCUUGGAAAAAAUCAAUAUGCGGAAGCCAUAAAGAACGCUCUUAUACUAUGCAAGAAAAGUAAGUGAAAAUAAAGAUAUUGGAAGAAUGUUGACACCUAAAUUUUGCCAAUCCGAUCAUUCAUUUAUUGUAUAGAAAAUUAGGAAUUAAUGAUUAAACCCUAUACAAAAAUAUUAAAAUUAAAUUGCAUAGCAUGUAAUUUUAGAAGCAUUUAUUUAUUUUUGUUAUUAUAUUUGCAUUAGAUCGGUGAUCGAUGAGCUUUAAUUUUACAAUUGGAAGAUAGGUAUAUUUCAAAAAUGAUAUGUUUUAUUCUUCCAGUAUAUUCAAUGAUAUGGUGGUGGAUCUUUUAUAUAUUCAUGCAAUAUAUGGAAAAUAAAGUAGAAAAAAUAAAAGGAAGGUGCGCUAAGAAGUUAUCGAUCGGCAUGGGGGCAUAUAUAUUUGGUCAAUGUAAAGAAAGAAUUAGUAUAAGAGGUGUACAUGAUUCUUGAGAUAUAUUUCACAAUAUAUUUUUUUCCUUGAAAGCCCUAGCUGUCCUCAUCUAUAAAAAGAUGAGAGUGUGACAUCCUGAAUUUCAUAUUUUGUUUUCGAUUGGAUAAGUCGGGCUUUUCGUCGACGCGCCUAUAGUUCAUUUUCCUGAGUUGGCCACUCAUGAGAUAAUAGUUUAUCAGGUGAAGCCGUUAAGGGAUUUUAACGCAAUAGACUUGAGAAUUCGACCAUGAAUCAAUUACUCGAUCGUGCUAAUCUGCAAGAGUUAUUAUGGCAUAGUUACAAAUCGAUUAGAGACCGGAGAUAGGUCAAUUUGAUAGAAGUAUGUGAUUAGUGUGUGGGUGAUUUCACCUGAUUACAAAAUUCUCGUCGAACGACACUAGACCGAUUUUUCUGUUGUUUUAGUACCUUGUGUCUAUAUUUGAAAUAUCAAGAUUUUCACGAUAACCGAAAGUCGUCAAUGUGUCGGAGAUGUAUAAUGUGACUUGAAAAUAAUCGACCACAAGUCAAUUGCACUAAAAAUUCCUAAAAGCUACUCGGUAGGUUAGAUCACGCUAAAAUCGUGUCGGAUUGAAAUUAACCACGAAUUUAAAUUCGAUUUCAGAAAUUGAAAGUUCUGUCAUGACACAAUUUAUUUUAAGAACAUCAACUCAUUCUUCAAAGAAUUUUCGGCAAGCUCUAGAUUUUUACGGAAAAUCAAUUCGGAUAAAUCGAAAAAUAAAGAAAAUUUGAAUAGGCCAAAUAGAGGGGAUUUUUGGCUUUAAAAGUGAGCUAUUUGGUUAAGGGAAAUUGUAGAAAUUGUGUGGGCUUCUUUCUCAACAAAAUUGGACAUUAAAUUGGAGAGAAUUGGUGAAGAAUUGAAGUCCCCAUUGGAUGAAAUUCGUAGGCUUGUGUGGGGCUGCAACUUUUGGCACCAAAAUUGAGUUAUUUGUGAAAUUUUAUGCAAGAAAGUAAUGUGGGGGACAAAGGGGAUAUGCAUGAAAGCUCGUGAAACCUUGAAAUGAUGAUAUUAGAAAUUUGUCUUGACUUUUAUUUCCCCCUCUCAUUCGGCUUUUCCAGCAUGCAAGGCCAACCGCCCUUCCUUCUUUGUGUGUCUCUUUCCCUCGACCCCUCUUGCUUUUGUUUUCUUUUUCAUUUUCCUCGCAAGCUGUUUCCACCCCCCUUCCACUCACACCAGCUGCCCCAUUGCCAGCGAUCAUUCUCUCCGCCGAAGCCACCUCCAUUGAUUCUUCUCUGCCAUACCUCCACGUCAAUGUCUUCAUCCCACUCAAUCAACCUAGCGAAACUUUUUCCCCCUGAAGUUGACUCCAGUAGUCCACCGAAGCAUUCCACCGGCUACCACCAACGCCCCCUUCCAUUUUAUUUCCCUGGUGCUCCACCGGUUCAACCUAGUAGAACUCUCCCUUGACGUCACACCCAUAGCCUCGCUAUAGCUUGUCAUGCCUCGAACCUCGAGCGCGCCAACAUCCCGCCAUGGUCAUUCAAAUGCGAUGUUCCCAAGUUAAGUUGCCGACCUAAUUAGUUCUUUAAUGCACAUGCAGAAGCAUAUUAUAAAACCCCUGACAAUAAAAUAUGGGAUAGAAAAGCAUGAAGCAAUUUCACAACAAUACACUUUCAUAAAUCAACAGAGUUACAAACGAAGGCCUACAACCAAAAGUCUACAAAAGAUCGGCUCUUAAAAGGAACUGUCCUACGAUCAACAAGUCGGACACGUUCUUCAAUCCUCUUGACUUCAUCUCUGCAACUCCUCAAGGCCAACCAAAGUGAUCUGGUCGCUCCGUCCACAAGGGAUCUGAAAAUGUUGGCCCACAAUGGGGUGAGAUAUUGUUUCAGCAAGUUCAACCCCCUAAACCUCUAUUAGAAAGAAAAUACACCCAAUGAUGGCCUAGCCACAUCAUAUAGAGGACUUACCUCGCCUCAAUUCCUUUCUGUAGGUUAGCACAAUUCAUAUCACUCAAUCACAUGUUCAUAUCACCCAACUACAUACAGUAAUACGGACUUAAACAACCAGAACGCAUUCGCUUUCAUAUAACCGACAACCGCAUGAGUCAUGAUUAUAAGACUAAAUCAUUAUGACACAUUCCAUUCAAUGCCACACAAUUCUGUCCCAUAAUCUGACACCACAACAACACUCAACAUGCAUUCCAAUUGUUAUUCAUUGCCACAUAAGGGCAUAGCCUACUCGCAGUUCGGCUAUCUACUGACAUUAAUGCUAGGCAUCGCCUCCUCCCAUGGAACGCGGCUUCGUCAUUACGUCGAUGGUAUUCCUGAAGAAGCAUGGGUCCAGUUGGCCUAGCCUCUACUGCGACUCGAGCCUCGUCACUAUGUUGACGGCGUUUCUAAAGGAAUAAAGGUCCAGUUGGCCUAGCCACUAUUGUGACCGAGUCUUUUAACCAGCACACGACAAUUCAAUACUGACCCCUGGAUACUUUGCAUUUCGCUCAAAUACUCUAAUUACAAUAUUAAUCAUUAAAAAUUCAAUUUCGGUGCCAAACCCGACACUUGUGAUUUUCUAAAUAAAAUCCAUAUUUUUUCACAAUCAACACUCAAUUUGUAUUAUCCACUCAUGAAAUUUAAAUUCUAAAUACACAGCAGUGAUCAGCACAAAAUUCUGAGCAAUUGAGGUCAAAAAUAAUUUUUCGAUUUUUUUUAAUAAUACUUUAAUAAUUUUCGGAAUAUAAUAUAUUAUUAAAUAAUCCAAUAAUUUUGAAACAUUUAUUAAAAUCAAAAAUAAAUUCCUUUAAGUCACAUCAAAGCUUAUAUUAAAAUAAACAUUCACUUAGCCUUAAAUUAAACACAUUUUAAGUUAAUUAAGCACCUUAAUAUAAUCUACACUUAAAUAAAUUAAACUAAUCACCUAAUAACACUUAACAUAAACUAAACCUCCCUAAGCAUAAUUAACCCUCUAAUCAAGAUUGAGUAAGCUAAACUCACCGGAUUAGCGAGUCGAGCAAUUCCAAACAAUAGGGAUGCAACGGGGAUCAACUUUCCUCAAGGCGGGCCAAGCGAUUGGGGUCGAGAAGCCGGCCAAAACGGGCCAAAAUCGAGCUGAAAUACCCAUUUUUGCUUGCUGUUGGUUGAGGCCGAGAAGAGGUGGAUCCGGUGCCGGUUGAGGUGGAGGAGAACCGACGGGAGCUCGGGCAGCUUGCAUGGACCUUCAGCGAAUAGGACAACGACUCGCGAUGGCUCGACGAUGGCGAGCAGCUGCUGGCAACAAUGGAUGACGGUGCUGGAGGCUCAGGGUCGCACUGGCAACAGCAGAGCGGUGAGCUGGUGUGCGAGGCGACGCACACGAACGGGCGAUGACGACGACAGACUCCGGCGACGUGCGGGUGAGGGGCUGCUCGGCUAGCAUCCAAUCGGCUCAAUGGUUGACGAACGACGAGGUAGACAGCCAGAGAAUGCAAAAUGACGGCAGAGCAGAGGCUUGACUCGCAGCUGCACGCAACUAGGCAUGACGGGCGAAGGAGUGGCCAUCAGCGGCGAGCGAGCGGGCGGUGAAGUGGUGGACGAAGGGGGGUGUCGGGCUUGCUGGAACUAGUCGAAUCCUCCUUCUCUCUCCUCUUUUCUCUUUCCAAGAAGCUAAAGGUUGAAGAUGAUGUUGAUGGGUGCUUUUUUUUAGGGCCAAUCUACACCAUCCACUUGUCAAGAUCUCCUUCAAUUUGGCCCAACCACCAUAACAUCACAUGAUAUCAUACUCUACUAUUUCCAAUCUUCCACAACCUUAUUCCAAUGGUUGCAAUUUCCUUUUCCGCCGUGGCAUGACAUCUUGUACAUUAAAUUCUUCAAUUCCAUUCAAUUUUUUUUCCAAUUGAGUCCAAUUAAAGUCCAUAAAUUAAUCUAAUGUUCCUAAUAAGAUUUGUGACAUAACAUGACUUCUAAUUUCUGAAUUCGAUUUCAAUUUCACAGUUAACUUAAAUUCAGCACGAAUUUAGCGCAUCUUAAUCCACCGGAUAGCUUUUAGGAAUUUUCAUGUAUUUGACAUGUGGUUGAUUAUUUUCAAGCCGCAAAGUACAUUUUCGACACGUUAGCGACUCUUGGUUGUCAUAGAAAUCUCAAGAUUUCAAAUACAGACACAGGGUACCAAAACGACAGAAGAAUCAGUCUAGUGCCGAUCGACAAUAAUUGUGCAAUUAGGUGAAAUCACCCACACUUAAUCACAUACCUUUGUCGAGUCGACAUAUCUCCGAUUUCUAAUCGAUCUUAUUAUGUUGUAAUGAUCUCUUGCGGAUUUGCAUGGUCAAGUAGUUGUUUCCUGGUCGGAUUCUCAAGUCUAAUGCAUUAGAAUCCCUUAACGACUUUACCUUAUAGACUAGUUAUCCCAUGAGUGAUCAGUUCAGGGAAAAGAACCAUAAUCGUGUUGAUGAAAUGCCCAACUAUUUCGAUUGAAAUCAGAACUUGAAAUUCAAGAUAUCACAUAGCCCGCAACACAGCCGAGCCAAAUUGUGACCAGCAACCCCUUCAAGACCAGCAGCAACUGUGAGCCUUCGUGGGCCUUUUUGGAACGCUUCCGAGCCUUGUCGAGUGUCGCCGUUAAGAGGUUUAUCACCCAUCUCUACUACGCCAUUGCCAUGGACUCACCGGAUCGCAAAACCGUUGAGUUUACUCACUAAUCUCCGCUUAGGGAGUUAAUGAUGCUUAAUGAUUGAUUAGUUUAAGCUAAUUAGGGAUUAUGUGGUUAGUAAAAACAUAUUAGCGAUUUAAUUGUUCGUUUAUGCAUAUUAGGUAGUUAGAGUAGCGUAAUUAGAGACUAGAUAAGUUGUAGUAUUUAUCUAGAUUGGUUCGGAAAUUUUUCGGGCCCAUUUUGGUAUUUAAUUAGGUGUUUCUAGCCUAAGCCUCUAUUUUUGGUAAUUAAAUGCAUUUAUUUAAUUAUUUUUUGUAAUUAUUUAAUUAUUUAUUAUUUUUCGAAAAUUAGAUCAGGAUAAUCGAUGAACGGAAUUUCAUGUUGAUUGCAUUGAUAUGUGUGAUUUAUUUGAUUGAAUGCUAAUUUGUGCAAUUUAAAUGAUAAUUGUAAUUUUGGGUAAUUAUCCAAAAAUUGGGGUAAUUUUAAUAUUUAAUUAGAAAUUACCAGGGCAUCGGUUUACAACACCAAAAAUGUUUACAUACACUGUAUAAAUAGUGAGAUUUUCUAAAAGAAAAAUAUUAUAUUUUUGGUUUAGGCCGACCGUAUAUUCACACAUGAUUAUUUUUAUCGAGUAUAAUUGAAUACGAUAAAAUCAGGCCAAGUUGGGUAUUUAAUUGAGGAAUUGGUGAGCAUUAAUUAGUUUCUGUGAGCUAUAAUAUACAUAUAUUAGCUUUGGUGAGCAAUAACGUAUAUGUAUCAGCUUUGAUGAGCUAUAAUAUACAUAUAUUAGCUUUGGUUAGCAAUAAUAUAUAUGUAUCAGCUUUGGUGAGCAAUAUAUAUAGAUAUCUAGCAGCUUCGAUGAGCAAUAUAGAUAUAUAACAGCUUUGGUGAACAUUAUUAUAUAUCUAUCAACUUUGAAGAGCUAUAUUAUCUAUUUCAGCUUAGGUGAGCAGUAUUAGAACCAAUCAAAUUUUAUAGAUGGUAUUGAAUAUAUCGAAUUGAGCGAUUCAAUUGAUUGAUGGUUUGAAUCAAUUGUGUAUGUAAUUUAUGCUGACGUGCAGGAAUGAACUAAGGCAAGGUAAGUCCUUUGUCUUGUGUGUGCAUAGACAGCCUUUAGGUGUAUUUCCUUCCUAGUUAAAGUUUAGGGGGUGAUUGCUGAAAUAUUGUCUCACCCUGUCAUGGGCUCAACUUUUUAGGUCCAUAGUAUGAAGAACUUGGAGCUUGAGGCAGAAGGGUUAUGAGCAUGUGUGGCCCAGAAGUUCUAGACCUUCUGUACUUAAACUCUAGAGUUAGCCUUUGUUUGUAAACCAGAUCAUUUAUAAAAGUUGUAUUGUUUGAUUUGAAAUUUGUUGUCCUGCUUUUCUAUCCCACGUUUGUUGUGGUCAGAGAAUUAGUAAUUCGCUUCCACGUGUGCAUUAAAAUGAAUGGGUUAGCAACGCGUUCUAGGACGUCGCAAAUUUUAUCCACCACCGAGGGAUGAGCACACGCUCGAAGUUCAGGCCUAACAGAGAGUGCACGCAUUAGCGAGGAGGACACGAUUGAUAUACAUGACCACACGUGAGAGAGAGAGAGCGAGAGAGAGAGAGAGAGAGAGUUGUGUUCUUCCUCUAAUGCUUCAGCUUGGAGUUUCAACUAGAAUUCACUUGCGACAACUGAGCUUGUUGUUGGGUCUCAAUUGAGCAUCCACACGAUCACCCCAACAUUGCUUCUUCUUUUUUCAACGAUGAUGAGCUACUACAGUUUCUGACUGUGGCAUCCCUGCAACUCGCGCUAAACCAAGGAGACCCGCAUUGUGACAACAAAGCCGCUUGUGAUUUUGCACCAAAAAAACUGCAGCUACUCCAUCUUGUGAACAACGACAUUACCAGCAUUGCAUAAUGUUGAACGCCCCUUGGUGCUCUCCAUGAUAGAUUGUUUUUGUGGCUACGUAGGUUAGACAGAAAAUUCCAAAUGGAAGGGUUGAUUUCCAAUGAUGAAAAGCGUCCAAACCUUGAAUGCUUCGCUAAUUAUGACCAUUCGAAAAAGUGUGACUAUCACAUGGGUGAAGUUGGCCAUUCUAAUGAUGAUUGCUUUGUUGUGAAGCAUAAGAUCCGAAAUCUCUUGAAUACAAAUGUGUUCUCUUUCGGUGAUAGUCAACCAAAUGUCAAGAAGAACUCUCUACCCAACCAUGAUGGAGAUGUAAAUUCUAUCACCGAGUGAAGAAAUUCUCAUUUUCGCACUCCUCCACAUAGGAGUCUUUUAUGCUUUCUAAGGUUUCAAGUGCCUUCAGGAUUUCUUGCUUUUUGAAGUUUCAAUUAUGGUUUUUUUGUUUUUAGGGUUUAAUUGUUUGCAAUUUCCAUUCCAAUAAUGUAAUUCAUUUGAAUCUAUUUAUUGAUAUUACAAUUUUAUUUCUAAUUUUGAGGACGUGUUGAAGUAUACCAAACUAGCCCGAUGAUGAUAUUUAACAAUGAAAAAAAAAUAUCAUCAAUGGAGAAAUUUUGAGAGUUAGGCUUCAUUAUCUUCCUACCCAAAAAAAUAAAAUAACAAAAAAAAACAAAAAAAAAAUCAUUUUAAAGCCAUUUUCCAAAAUCAUGCUUUAGGUUAACCCUGUUUGUUUUUUUAACUCAUUUACUUCAUGUCUCAAAGCACAAUUCAACUGCUUAUUAUAAUAGAGAUGCAUUUGAAAAUAACGCAUCAAUUUCCAGUGAUAGUGGCCCCGUUGAUUUGGGAACAUAUAUCUGAAGGAAAAAUAGACGUGGGGGUAAAGGAUCAUUUCCUAGCUGAUUGUUAUGAUAUCUCCAAAGAGUGAAGAAAAUAGUAAACACUAUCUAUCUUCUUACUUGUCUCGAGCCAUUUCCUUGCACAUCAAUAAGAAACUGGGGGCAUGUCAGAAGAAAAUAAUCUAGAUUCCAAAAUGUAAUAUGUGGCACAUCUCAUUACAAUUUGUGUGAGAUGUCAUUCUCGAAAGGCAAAUGAAGUUUCUCAUUUUCAUGAGAAAAUGAAGGAACAAGUCAAAAAGAGGAUCAUCAGUCUUGGAUGAAACGGAUACAUUUCGUUCAUAAAUAUAAUUAAUUUUGAAAAUGACACUCUAUUCUUUUCCUUACAGAUAAGAGAUUUGGUUGCAUUUUGCAUGCCAUUUUAAUUAAACAUUUAUGUAUGAUAUUGCACAUAGUUUCUAGAUUUCAUUUAAAUAAGUGAAAAAAAAAGUGAGCAGCUGUGUAUUAAUUACAAAUCAUUUAUAGGAUUAUUGAUGUGAAUUCUGAGUUAAUAUUGCAGAUACUUCCGUUGCUAUAAGUUAAGUAUUGCAAUUUAUUUAUUAUUUUAUUAAGUGUUAAAUUGGUGGAUUACGCACAUGUAUGGUCACCUCAUAUAUUAUGGAGUAAUAAAAUAAAUUCAAGUUACUUGAUAAACAUUUUUUCGUGAAAAGAAUCGUGUCGAAAGGGUAUUAGAAAAAUAUAGUGUAAAUAAGUCCCCAACCCAAAUUCUCUAGUUCGUAGGAGUAUGAUAAUUCUCCAAUUACUUUACUUAGAUGUCUAAUCAAUCUAUUAUAAACUGAUUAGUAACGAUUCCUGCCAAAAUACUUAAAUCUAAGUUGCAAAUUUCUAUGGGCUUGGGAGAUCCCAAAUUAAGUUUAGAUUUAGUAAUCCAUUAGCUAAACCUAAGUGGUACAUCCGAGGUUAAAUCAUGACAAAGAAAUGUAUUAUGUAUUGCUUUCACUAAUCAAUAGUGUAUACACCUUGGGUUGUAUUUAUAAUACAUAGGAUUAGAAACUAAGUAAGGGAAGUCGACCAAAAAAAAAAAAAACCAGCUAAGGGAGAAAAUAAUAUACAAAAUAAAGGAAAUGGUCUCCUAAUACGCAAAAUUCUAGUUUGCCAUCAAUAGACCAAUCAAUAUCAAUCAAAAUCAACAUCAAGAUCAAUCAAAGUUGCAAGAUCAACUAGUCUAGGACAAUGAUAUUUUCAACAAUUUCUACUUCUAGUUUUAACAUUCAAAAUUCAAAAGCGAAAAAAUUUGACUUUAAAAAAAUGAUGAUAAUAUUGCAUAUAGUCCUAUAAGUCAUAACUUGAAUAUUUUCAAAUAAUUCAAAUAUUUCAUGUUAAGUGACAACCAGAUUUUGAGAGCUACUAAAUUGACAAAAAUGCUAAAAUUUUAAGAAUAAGAUAUAACUUUAGUUACACAUUAAAUAAAAAGUUAUUGACCGGAAGAAAUCAAAGGUUAAUAAACAAAAUAUAUUUGAAAAAAGAGAUAAGUUUAUUGAAAAAUUUUAAAAUUUGUCACUAAAUUACAAUUGAAUCCUAAAACCUACAAAAAAAUGCAAUUAAGUAUUAAAACAUGUCAAAUUGGUGUAAUCGAGUCAUUUCAUUAAUUCUAUCCAACUUGAUUGAUAUUUUUUUGUUAUUUUCUCUAUUCCACAUGACGACGAAUUGGGCAAAAUGAUAUUGUUUUGGUUCAAAUUUAAUUUUUUAUAAAAAAAAAUAUUUAAUUAUUAUUAAAAAUAAGCUAACUUUUAGAGGAAAAAAGGGGAAAAAAGAAGAAGAAAAAACAUGUGAGGGCUUGUGGCCCUUGUCGUCGACCCACAAUUGUCGAGAAGGCUAGCGAACAUUGUCAAGCCCUAGCUAUUGGUCGAUCAUCUCCUGCCAUCACCGAGACUCGACGAUAAUAAGGCAGCGAUAGAGAGGGCUACAAGCCCUCCUUUUAUUUUAUUUUAUUAAAUUGAACUAAUUUUUUAAAUUUAAUUUAAAUAAAAUUCAGAUUAAAAGAUCAAAUGCGAACCAAAAUGAUGUCAAUUUAGCCCUCAUAUUUUAUUCACGUCAUUGCCAUACAGGAGAGAGAAAAUGAUAAAAAAAUAGUUACAUUAGCAUUUUCAGUUAGUAAAUUAAAUAAAAUUAUUGAAAUAACUCGAUUGCAUCAAUUUAAUAAAUUUUAGUUCUUGAUUACAUUUUUUAUAAUUUAUUUUAUGAUGAGGUUUAUGAUUUUUUGUAUACUUAUAAAAAAAGAAGAAAAAGAGAAGAAAGAAAGAGAAAAAAAUAAAAGAAAAAUAAAAGAGCUCUUCACCUUCCCCCGUUUCCCCUACCGAAUCCUCGUACAGCACCGUGCGAUUCCCCCCUGCUGUUAAAACGCAACCGAAGAACCUCGUAUCGAGCUCAAAGCGAGCGAGCGAGAGAGAGUGAGAGAGAGAUGGCGAAUCAAGGAGCGAAGAAGCGCAAGGAGGAGAACGCGCGCCACAUGGCGAGGCUCCGUCACCUCAUCAUCGCCUGCAACGUACGUCUCUCCUCUCUCCCUCUCCCCCUCCAUCUCAGUUCGCUCUUGCCCGAAUCGAUCGCUCGAGGAAUUGGUGAAUCUGAUGGGACCGGACUGGUUCUUGAUUGGGGCAUUUCAAGUUCGUUUUUUGAUCCUUCAAUCCUUUCGAUUGGGCGAGAGAAUUGCGUGAAAUAUGUAUGUUCGGACCUGACGAGUUAUGGGUUCGGGUUUACUCUUCGGAACGGGUGCGUCGGCGGUGGAAUUUUGUCGUAGAUGUUUGGUUGGAGCGAGUGCCGGAGGCUUUGAGAUGAGAGUUUUCCGGCGAGAAUAGGGUCGGUCGAGGUUAAUCAUUGGGCAGGGAAAGUUGCGGGCUUGGAGCUGAUGAUUGGCUCGGGUUCCUUUUUGAUGCGGAUGCAUUGUGGGGUGGAAUUUUGAAGGAGCUAAUUGGAGCCUUCGAAAAUGCGAGUUUUUUUAUUUAUUAAUGAGAUGAGAAAGAAGCGGGAAAUGUGAUAUUUUUUGGUGAGAACUGUGAUGGGGGGCUAUUUUAGUAUUAUCUCGGAGCGUUCUCGUCAUGCUUCGACAAAUUUCUUGGUGGUAGUUUUGGUUGAGGUGUAUUGAAGAUUCCAUGCUGAGAUAUUUCUUUAGUUAAGUAUAAUGAGUUUAGGUGAGUCAGAGAAUGGCAUCUGUUGCUGCUGGCCGGAUGACACUUCUGAUCUUAUGCGUGGAUUUUUUUGUUUGAUGCCCAGUGAAGGGCUUGAAGUGUGGCCGGAUUUGAUCACUUCUGCUGAUUGUGCUGGUUAGGAUCUGGUUAGUGGGUUUCCCUCAAAUGUACCGGUAACUUUACUGAUGGUUCAUCGAAUGAAUUUUAAGUUCUCUCUUGAGUUCUUCCUCCUUCCUAGUUGUUCAUCCCUUAAAAUCUUCUUUUGCUGAUUGCAACACACAAAAAAUGAUCCUUCAUUUCAGAUUCUUGAAGGAUUAUUCAAUGGUCUGUACUUGUAAUCAUGAUGAUAUCAUAGAGAUGCUAGUAGAAAGCUUUUUGAGACUACUAGAUUAGAUUCUACUUGGAGUUUCAUGACAUGAUCUCUAUUGUAAUGUGCGCUUUCUUUUGGUAAAUGUUGAUGUUCUAUUGGUAAAUCUGAAAGCUGUGAGGUCAAGUAUGUGGUUGAAGAUAAGAUGAAGAUAUAUUCAAAAUGGUACUUGGAAAUUGCUGAGAUUUGUGACGGCAAAGACAUUUUGAAGGUUUACAUGUAUCCUGCAUCUAAUAGUUGUAUGAAUUUUGGCAAGCUUUCAGUUUGUGAAAGAACCUUUAGUGUUAUGUCUACAAGCUCUGGACUUCUUGCAAUUGGUUGUGAUAAUUUCUUCUUAAGACUUUCCUAUGCAAUCUCACUACUGCAUGAGAUGAGGAGGAGAAUUGGGACCAGGACCAUUGGGCUUCCUAUUGUAAUAUUAGAGGGGAUAUGGAAAACUCAGGAAGAAGAAGAAAUGGAAGCAAAUCCAUAUGGACAAGGGUUUCUUGAGGGGAUGGAGUUGGUGGGUGGCCUACUUUUAUUGGUUGUGCUAGUUCUUUUAGUUAGAAUCUGUUUAGUCCAUUUUGUCAGUUUUUGGUUUAAGUAUGACUUUGGUCCCUCUACGUAAACCAUUUUCACAAUGUAUGUAUUUUUUUUUUUUUAAAUUUCUCCAGAAAAUAUAACCUUCAACUUAUAAAAAUCAGCGAUGUUCACUUGUCUUACAAGAGUCCUAUUAAAUUUGACCAUGUUUAAAUGAAAUUCACCAAUUUUUGAAGGAUUUAUGAUCCAUAUAGACAAACGAUGGGCCUCAUGAAAGUGUCCGUUUGACCAUAUCAGCAAAGUUUCCCAAGAAACUGAGUCAGAGAGACCAAAUUAACUACAUUGCAAGUUCGGAGGGAUAAAGGAACUUUGAGAGACCAAACUUGUACUUAACCUUGCUACCUUAGUGUCUAUUUUUUCCUGUGGUUGCAGAGAUAAAAAUCACGUUGCACCAAGGUUUAGGUAAAUAUGACAUUUCUGCAUUCUGUCUCAAGUUCUUGAUACUCCUUCGAGUCCUUCCUCCAAUCGGUUCUCCCUUAAACUCUGCUUGCUUGAUUGCAACACAUCAACCAAUAACAUCAGUUAAAAUACAAGGAGGUGUUAACCGUGUGAGCAGCGGUGGAGAUAUUGGACUGUGUCGAUCCUUGUUGAGCAUAUGCUGGUACCUUUUCGAAUGCAUUCACGUAAAAUGAAAUUUAGUAUGGAACAAGUACUAAGACCCAACUUAUGUGACUGAAUGGUGUGCCUCUCUCAGAGAAAAAAGAUCAUCUUGAGAAGGCUGCCUUUUACUGAUACUAUUACUUGAACUUGUGAUUGUUGCUGCCAUGUAAUUUAUGACAACUUUUAGUCGUUUCUAACUGCCAACUUUUUAUAGAUGAAGAUUAAGAUUUACCAAGUUGGCACCCUGAUAGAAACGUCAGUUGAUUCUGUUAGCUGCAGUAAAAUGAUAAUAAAUUAUUGUUUCAUAGGGAUAUCUCAAUUAACGACAUGGAAUCUUAUGCUACUUCAACUUAAUUCAUGAUAUUUUUCCCUCUGAAUCGGUGACCAGUUCUUGAUCACAAGUUCUUUUGUAGAAUUAGUUACUGCUUGCUUGGCAGCUGGCCUUUUGACUUGUGUUGAUAUUUUUUUUUUCCCUGCAACAAUGCAGGUUAUAUACAUUUUACUGAGAAUGCUUAUCUUUCACUCCUCUUUCACCUGGAAACAUUGGGUGGGGCUGCUAGUCACAUCUGCAUCAUAUGCAGUUCCAUACCUGCAACUUGCUAAAAUGGCCCAGCCUACUUAUGCUGCUGAUGGAGAGCUUCUAGACGGUGGAUUCAACAUGAGUACAGGUGGAGUCUGUGGGUAAGCUCUCUCUCUCUCUCUCUCACAGACACACACACACACACACAUGUGUGCCCUUACCUAGCUGCAUAUGCAGACAGAACAUAAUGAUUACCUCCUUAUGUUAUGGUAUAUUUCAAUGUCAUGUUGUCAUUUUUUUUUCCCUUUCAUUGGUGCACACGGUAAUGAUCUUAAAUAUAAAGCUCUAUCAUUGCACCAUAGUUGCAUUCCUUCUUGGGGGAGACUUUAAGAAGAUCUCAUGUAGUUUUGUAGGGAAUUUUCAGAUAUGCUAUAUGAAAAGUUGGACUGCUGAAUCAUAACUUUUCUACAUCAUCUUGCAAUAUGUUGGAAGACUGUUCAACAAAGAAAUAAAUAUUUAACACAAAACAUUCCUUAGUUUUCAUACCUUUCCCAUCGCCAAGAUUAAAUAAAUUCUAAGAUACAUGUCACUUCUCCAGAAAUGGAAAGAUAUUUAUCUAAAUGUUAAAAUCUGUUUUGUGUGCUUGAGAAUGGUGAUAUUCUAGGUUCCUAAUUAGGCAAGACUCGAUUCUUUACUUAGGAAUGUGUAUAACACUUUAAUCACAUAAUUGCCUGAAGGAUAUUCAAAGGCAUACCUCAUUAUUCUUUCCAGAGAAUGGAAAUGAAAAACAAUUGUGCUAGUCAAAGGUGUAUUUCAUGUACUUGGGCUUUACUCAGCUGAAGCGAGCUUCCUUUUUUAUAGAAAAUAAUAAUUAAUCAUGUUAUGCCCUAUCUUGCAAAAUUAGCAAAUCUUAUUGUGCCAAUGAAUCUUACUACUGGAUCUGGGUUAAAUAGAUGGAGGUGGUAUGUACUUGGAUAUUCCUUUUUCACAAAUCUUGAGUAAUGCUUGGUGGAUAUCGACCAAACAGAUGAGUAUAUGAGUGUUCAUCGGCAUUUAAUUAAAUUAUCGAAGAGGUCACCUUUAUAGGUCUCCCGAUGCAAUUGUUAUAUCAGCAGGAUAGAAGCCAACAUUCAUUUCCAAAACCAUUAUCUAUGUAGAGGAAUCUUUACUUGGACAAAUUUCUUGAGAAUUCUCUUUGUUGUCUGUCCUGUCCAGUAAGAAGUCUUGGUGAAGUCUUUCAUUGAUGAACCAAUGGUAAUGCAAGCUUGGCAUGGUAUUGUCACAAAUGCACUUUUGCUUCAAGUUUUAGAAUGUACUAUUUCUGCUCCUUAAAAUAGUUGCUCUAUUAUAACAUGUCAUUUUUUACUCAUCAGGAUGCAUUACCGUGAGGUUUAUAAGAGGUGUAAUAUGAUUGUUUUGUAGUGAAUUUAUGCAAUUGUCAAUGAAGUUUCUGAAGUUAGAUGGCCAUGCUACUUCUGGGUUCUUUCAUUUAUUUAACAAUCUUAUAUUCUUGAGCAUAAAUUUUGCCAACUGCAUUGUUCUUCAAUGAUAUCAAUUUGAUAAAAAUGACGCAGUUUUCUUUGCUAAUUCUUGCUCUGCAGAUAUCUGCAUGACGUGAUCUUCAUUACAAGUUUUGUGCAAGUGGCAUCCAUCAUUUCAGGGAAAUUCUGGUACACAUAUUUGGUGGUAUGAUUCUUUCUUUUGUUAUACAUACCAAAUGGAUUUGGUGGCAAAAUCUUUUGUGGAGGAAUCUGGUAACUCUUUGUGCCAGCUCAUUAGAUAGUCUUAGACUCUUAUUUGCCUCUAGUUCCUCCUUCAGGUUAUAUAUUUGGCUCCACCAGUCUACGUGACCAUUUUCACAGUUUCUUCAUGCAUGCGUUCUUGACUUCUUGUUUUUUUUUUGGAGAGAGUGUUGCUAUAAAGUAGAGAAGGCAAUGCUUGAUCUUUGUAGGGAUCUAAGUGUAGCUUAUUUAGUCGAACUGCAUUCCUCGAGAUUCAGGCAUGCUGUAAAUAAACUUUUUUUUACGAGAUGCUAAUGAUUAAUUAGUCAGCUAAGAGGUUUACAAGGGAUGCUGGAGUUAAAGCUAUAUUAACCAAGCAUCUUGUUGACAUAGAAGUUGAAUAAAGAGGUUUUCUUGUGUAGAUGUCAUGGAUCCACGGUGGUGAAACUCUAACUACUUAGUGCCUCCCCUUCCUUCAGACCUCAACCCAAUUUUCAGUGACAUUAUGCAUGAUAAUAUAUGUGUAGGGUGAAUAACGAUGGGCACAAAAGGAAACAAAACUCGCAGGUGCUGAUGUUAUGACAAGUGGAGCAGUAGACCUUGACAAAAUAGGUUGAGAAUGAGUGUUCAUCCAAUUUUUGCUCAAAGCAUUGAAUAAAGCAGUGCAUUUAGUCUAAUGGCAGUGUCCACUUGCUAUGUAAACUGAACUAGUCCUGCCAACUUGUAAUGUGUAUGAACUCUGAAAUACAUGGAUGAGUAUUAGAGCUAGGGCAGAUACAUCUGUUUUACACUUAAGUGGCUCAUUUCGUAAGUCGAUACUUGUAGUCCUUUAGCAAAAGUUUCAGGAACUUUUGUAUAAUUUCUGUUGAUAUUUCUGUGUGUUCUGGUAAGGAUAGAAAAAAAAAACCCUCACAACUAAGGCUGCUACAUAACAUUGUCCUUACGCAGAUUCCUGCAUUUGGAGCAUAUAAAUCUUUUGGCUUUGUUAAGGGAUUUCUGCCGACAGGUUCUGAGGUGUGUCCGUUUUUGCUUUAGCUUCAGCCAUAUCUCCAUUGAAUGGUUUAUGGAUUCAUUCAUAACAUGCGUUUGCAUGAUAUAGGAUGCCUUGGAAGAUGAUAAAACUCGCAAGAAGAGAGAGAAGAUGGAGAAAAGAACUUCAAGAACCAAGUUUGUCAAGACAAGAGCUAGAUAGAUCUAGUAAACGAUUUGGCAGAUCAGUGGAUCAAAAAUUAGCAGUUGGACUGUAGUUUUGAGGUCACUGAACCGUUUUCUGUUUGUUGGAUUAGCAACAUAAUUGUUCAUCCAGAGCAAAAUCGAAUUCGGUACUCUCUCUCUCUCUCUCACACACAUAUGCCAUGGAUGAUACAAUUUUUGACAUCUGUCCUUCAUGUUGUUCAUGAUGCUAAUUCAAAAUGAGAAAUACUCCGGUGGCCUACUCUUUUAAAUUUUGAUUCAUUCUGCUUCUGGCAUUGCUUUAAUAUGUAUCCCUAGUUUUUCAUACUCCGGUGGUAAAGAUGAUUGUAAUGUUCUUCAUACAACAAUAAUAUUGUAUUUGUAGUAACCUAAUUGUUGUCGUUGUCUCUCUUUUGGUGUUAUUUUGACAUAUGUUUUGGUUGUGCAUUUUCCUUUCCUAGUAGAAGGAUUACGUGCUUUACAGGUUAACGUCCACCAUUUCAUAUUGCAUUCCAUGUUUCUUUCUUUUCCCCCUCUUUUCCCUUUUGAUUGGAAAAAUGUUGGUUAUUAUCAGGACUAUGUUAAUGAGUGGUUUGGAGCACAUGUGAAGCAUUAAUUUAAAUUGAUUCACUUUCCAAAAGUGAUCACACAUAAUAUGAUAGCCAAUGCAUGAAUAGCUAUAAAAUUUCUUUAAUUAUUGUCUUGGGGGAGUUCUUUUCAGAAAAACCUUGUUAAUAUUGGCAUAGGAAGUUUUGGCAUCUGAUUAAAAAUGGCCUUCAUCGCAAAAAAUUAGAGAAUAGACAGAUUGAAGUCGAUAUAUCACAUAAGUGAGUAGAUUUGUUCACUAGUUUAGAUCGAUCACAACCGUUGCUCAUAUAUCAAAAGUUGAUGCUAUUCUUGUCAAUACAAAAAGGACCCUCUUUAUGUCCAACUUUAAUGCUUAGUUCCAUGUUUUCUGGUUGAGACCAAUAUUGACGACUUCAAAUUAAGGUCGUCCUCAUUAUGUUCAUUUCUCUGGUAGAAGUCUGACAAUUCAUGUGUGGAGUUGGAUCUGACGAUGGAAUUGGGAGAGGCAUAGAUGAUGGCGGCAAGUGUGUAGGAGUCCAUAAGACGCAACAGAUGCCUAGUGUGGCGAAAAAUGACGGUGGGAAGUGGUGCGAUGUGCUAGAUAUAUGAGUACUAUGCAUUUUUUUUAUGAAUUCAGGCGCUCAAGUGCAGAGAUCUGACUACCUGAAAAUUUAUACAACAACCUAACUUACAUUAGUUUUCACAUAACUGAUAAAAAUAUGAAUGGGUGACCUCCAGCACUUAAAAAUGGAAAUAGAUCGGCGCUCCAAUUUGACUACCGAAGCAGUGCAGUGUGAGUUUGAUGGGAGUGUUGUACCGAGAGUGAACAUGAAUCUUUUUGCACAAUAUUUUUUCUCCCUCCUGGCUUUGCUACGAUUCCAUCGUUGUGAUUGAGGGCUUUAGCUUUUGUUCCCCGCGGCUGGUUGGGAUCACCCCACGCACACCACAUACAGUGCAUCCGAAGUUGUUGGACGUCAAUAUUCCAACCUUUCCUCGUCCAACCCCAUGACUCAUUCCUCGUCAUCUACACCACGUCCACAUAAAAGAACUUGUUUCUGUGGUCUCUCUCUCUCUCUCUCUCCAUACACACCUCCCUCCUUACUCAUCUUCCUCAAGUGUUUUUUUCCCAGUAACCUCCCAUUCGAUAAACCAUGCUGCUCACUGCACUCUUGCUGUCCCUUAUCUUCAUCGCUACCCUUGGAAACAUACUCUUCCACGUGCCCCUGAAGAAGCUCCCUGUGCUAGUCAAGUCUCUCUUCGCUGUGGUGACGGCCCGAGAGCAGGAGCGGCUGCAGAAGAGGAAGGAGCAGCCGACUAUGAGUGCCAAGAGGAGGGAGGAGCUGAAGAGUGUGUUCGCGAUGUUCGAUAGGAACCACGAUGGGCUCAUCGCGAGAGAGGAGCUGGGGGAGUCUUUGAGAGGCCUUGGGAUCUCCGUGUCAGAUGCGGACUUGGAGGAGGCAGUGAUCGGUUCUGACACUGAUGGCGAUGGCCGUCUCGACCUUGAUGAGUUCUGCAGCCUCCUGGAGUCCUUAUCCACGGCCAAUGCGAAUGAGAGGGAGGCGAGGAGGGUGGACGGUGAUUUCUGUGAAGGUGACGGUUGGGAGGUGGAGCUGAAGGAGGCAUUCGACGUGUUUGACAGGGACCGGGAUGGGGUUAUAACAGUGGAGGAGUUAGGGCUGGUCUUGUCAUCGUUGGGAAUGAGCCAAGGGAAGAGGAGGGAGGAGUGCCAGGAGAUGAUAAGGAAGGUGGACGCGGAUGGAGAUGGGAUGGUCAAUUUUGACGAGUUCAAGAGGAUGAUGAAGGGGGGUCAAACGCUUCUCGUCUCUGCUUAUUGAGGCGUUGCUGGCUGUCUUCUAUUUCUCUAUUAUAGUCGCAAGUGUCAUGCGAAAGAUUUUGUACAGGCAACGGAUAUAAGUUAUAUCAUAUAACCAGGAAGAUCAAUCACUUGCGCUUUUAAUGGAGUCCCUGCCAGGAUCAUAUGUCCAAAAGGGCCCCAACAAGAUGGUAAGAUUUAGAUUCAUAUUAGGACGACGAUGAUAUUACUUCUCCGAAAACUCGGUUAAGUUACCAGCCGUGGAGUUCACCGUUCACCUAUUGAGUAGAGAUUUCAGGAAAAAAUUUCACAUGCAUUUACCACGUCGAGUAGAGUUCCCCAGGUGUUUCUCUCUAGGGAUCCGAAUGCCAAGGUGCAGACCGGAAAUCCGGAGUGGAGGUAGUUGAUUCAUAGAUCUUUACUUUAAGAGUCUCUUGUUUGUCAGGAAAAAAGGUAGAAAAGUCUUAAUCAUAUUGUAUUGGUGCCAAUUUAGUUAUAAACCUUAUAAUGGUGUGAAUUCACUCUUAAAUAUUUUGACUCAAUGUCAAUUUGGUCUUUCCAACUAAAUUUGGCCGAAUAUUACUUAUAUGGACGCCGAUUGGCCUAUGGGGCAUGUAAAUUGUCCAAAAAGUCUUAAACUUUUCAAUUUCGCUAAUUGAAUUCUAAACCUUUAUACUUUUUGCUAAUUGAGUUAAUUCGGUCAAUUUUGGGAGGAAUUCACUAACAUGGGCACCGGCUGUCUUACGCAACACGAUUGGUGCUAAGGUGGACAAAAUUUAUUAUCUUUGUAUUUUUUUACUUUUAAUUUCUUUUUUUCUUUCUUUUUUUUUUCCUCUUCGCCGGUUGCCAACCUUUGGGGAUCGGCUAGAGGCUACAAUUAGCUAGGGUGACCCUCGCCAACCUCAGGCAAGGGUUGGCCUCAUUGGCGAUCUCGCCAACCUCAGGCGAGGCUCUUCUCGCCAAAUUCGGCGAGUUCGAGCCUAACCAAAGGCCACUAAGGGUCAGCCUCAAGUGAUGUUGCCCUUGUCGAGAUUUGGUGAGGGAUGACUUCACAGGCCAUGAGUGAGGCUCGCUAUCGAUGAGGUUGCUAGAGGCUAGCAAGGGUCACCCUCACCGAAGGCCAAUGAAGGUGAGCCCUCGCCCUCACUUGAAGCAGGUGAGGGGCGACCUUGCCGAUUGCCGAGGUCACCCCCUGCUAGUCGCCUAGUUGUAGCCUCUAGCCUUUUGCCGAAGGCUAAGCGACCAAUAGAGGAAAAAGAGUGCCCAAAAAAAAGAGGAAAAGUAAUAAAGAAAUAUUUUAAAAAAUAAUUAAAUUUUUGAAAAAAUAUAUAAAAAAUAAUAAAUUUUGUCCACAUCGGCAUCGGCGUCCAUGUCAGUGAAUUUCGAUCAAAAUUGGUUCGAUGAACUGAAUUAAUAAAAAGUAAAAAGAUUUAGGACUUAAAUGGCAAGUGUAAUAGAUUUAUGCCUUUUUGGAUAAUUUUUGCUUUAAUUUGUUUAGACAAUUUUUAAUAAUAUUUAAUAUUUUGAUUUUUUAUUAAACUUUUUUUUUCUUUUUCUUCUUCCUUUUGCCGGUGAUUGCCAUAAAUGAUAGCCAGCCACUAGCCAUGGCCAAACGGGCUUGCCUCGCCUAGGUGAGGAUUGAUGUUGCCCACCAUAGGUGAGGCUCAGUUGGGCAAGUACGAGCCCCGAUGAGGGCUCCCCUAGCUAGAUAUAGUGAGGCCAGCCCUUGCCGAGGCCUGGCAAGCAUCGCUUAAAAAAUGAGUGACUGUGAGUCUCUACGGCUUGGUUAUGGGGAGCCUACUUUGGCUUGGGUUCAUGUUGGUGGCAGAUAGGUCCUACUCCACCACAAGCUUCACAUCCCAAGCACGCAUCUCCACUUUGUCCAUGAAGGUUGUUGGCAAUUUGCUUGGUCCGAUUAGAUCCGCAAGACUUCUCUUGUGAGUUUUCUUGAAAAUCCUAUUUGUGGGUUUUGAUGGAAUCGAAUGCAUGUGGCCUCUUCUUGCAGUUCUCAGCGAAAACCUUUCAAAGUCUCUUGCUUGUUCUUUUGUACAACGGCCACCUGGAUUGGAACUCAAACUUCUGAGCCUGGAAUGUCAGCCCUCGCGCUUGCGGCGAUCUCUUUUUCGUAACAACCCAUCUGACAGUGGUUGGCCCAAAAGUGGCGGUGACAAUUGUCUCCUCAUCACCAUGAUCAAAGACGGAAGAAGCGAGACUGAGCUUUCCAGUCGGCCAUGGCCUAGGCGAGGGCUGGCCUAGCCCGAUAUGGCUCCUUUAACUAGGUGUACUAAUGGCCUCAAUGCUGACAUUGAAGGUAAGAGCGUUAUAAUAUACAUGUGAGUUAUGAUAAAGAAAUCUCAAAUCGAAGAAUUAGUGUGGUAUAAAAUAAUUAAUAUAUCAUAAUUGGUUUAUAACUUACUAGUUUAAGCUUUUUGAGUAAAUGUGAGUUCAACUGAAUAUGUUUAUAGGCUUGGACUUAGGGUCUCUUUUGCCAAUUUCGCAGGUGAAAGCUGAUGGUCUGUUCUAAUGUUUGGUGGAUGAAGUUGGGCAUAAUUUCCGAGCAAUGGCUGUUUUAGUUUAACAAUUUUGGCCUGAUGACAAACUUCAUAUCUUGAUGUAGAAUUAUAUUCAAAUUAAGAGGGAUUUCACACGUGAGGGGAGAUUUUUAUGAUAUACAGGUUAGUUAUGAUAAAGAAUCCCACAUCGGAGAAUAGUGUGUAGAUUAGUUGAUUUAUUCUAGUUGGUACAUAACAUGCUGGUUUAAGUUUUUUGAGUGAACGCGCGUCUAACUGGAUAUGUUUAUAGGCUCAAAUUUAUUAUCCCUCGAACAAUUCAAUCAUUCCUUCGAGUACACCAUCUUUUCCAUUGGAUCGAUGGUGGAUGCAACAGGCUUAUCUACAUCUCCCCAUCUAGUAGGAACAACAUUACAAAUGUUGAUGUUAGCACUUGGAGGCUUGGAAUAUCAAACACAAGUAUCCAUCACCCCUUCUUUCUCAUGCAUCAUCUUCGCUGGCCUAGGGAAUGUCGACCUAAUAUGGGGCAUGAUGAAGCCAAUUCAUCCUCUUCCUCUGCAGGAUCGUCCACCCCUACCAUGACAGCCUAGUUCAGCCGUGUAUGAUUUAUGCCUUGCUUCAAUUGGUUGGCAAGUGCCCUGACCAUAUCAACCUAAACCAUCACCUGAAGCAAAGCCACUCCCCACCAUGAUCUUGCCUACCAUGACCGCCAACUUUGAUACUUCUGGAGUGGGUAGGGUAGUGCCUCAAGAGACGUAAAUGGUUGAAGCCAACUUGAAUGCCUAAAAACUAGAUUCCGCUUUACAAUCUGGUUUAAUAUAAGAAAUAGAUAUCUUGUGGUAAAUCUUGAACUCAUUUUCUCUUUGAACUAUAAUAAGCUUUUCUUUCGUCACGAACCUCACUUUCUAGUGGAGAUUUAAGGGAAUUGCACUUAUUGUAUGUAUCCAUGGACGACCUAACAAAAAGUUGAAUGUUGUAGAUAUAUCCAAGAUUUGAAAAAUUGCAUUAAAUAGCACUAGUCACAUUCACAAGUCUAAAUCAACUUCUCCAAUCGCUUCUUUCUUGGUCCCAUCAAAUACUCGAACAGAGGUUUUAGUUGUGCAAAUUUUCCUAAAUCAUACCCAAGGCAUUUCAGAGUUGCUAGAGGGUCUAUUUUUAAAGGAUGAUCCAUUGUCAAUGAGUAUGCGAGAAACCUAGGUAUUCCGACACCUGACUAAGAUAUAUAGGGCUUUGUCGUGUCCUCUUCCUUCUUUUGGGUCCUCAUCAGACAAAGCAAUCUGGUCCUUUAAUAAAAUGGCCCCCACGAAUUCCUCAAACUUCUCAAGUUUAAUGGAUUUUGAGAGGUGUACCUCGUUAAGGACUUUCAUUAGGGACUUUUGAUGUUUCUCCGAAGUUAGGAGCAACUCUAAUGGGAAGAUUUGUGCUGGCAUUUUACGAAGUUGGUCCACUACGUUAUACUCACUUGCCUUAAUUACGGCUAAGAAUUUCUUAGCCUCCUCAUGAGUGACCAGCUUGAUAGGUUGUGGGUUGGCCUGAGCAUAGGUGCGUCUCGAUCGAGUGACCACAUUUAUCUCCACAUCAUAGCACUAGGGGACCGCUUUAUCAUUCAUAUAUGCAUAGGGUUGCAUAACAUCGAGAAUUAUUUCUUCAUCAUUAGACAGUGGCAUGUUAUUAAUGAUUAAUCCAUCAUUAUCCAACACAUCUUUGUUGACACCUAAUUUUGGAAAAAUAAAAUUGCAUUUUGAACAAAUAAAAGGAAAAAAAAUAAAAAUGGGGGAAAUUGAUUUGAUUGAUUAUGCAUGUCAAAUUUGAAAUUCUGAUGAAUGUUCAGAUUUUGAUAAAUGCAGAAACAAUUAAAAAUCAGGUGAACAAAGGGCAAGAAUUUUGCAAAAUGGAAGAAAUCUGAGCAAGAUCGAGCUGAUUGCGAAAUCACGUUCCGAUUUGCAGGCUUGAUUUAAUGCAACGGAAGAUAGAAAGUCGAAAGUUGCUAUAAAAAUGGCCAUAUGAAAAUCACUAUAAAAGGAGCCAUAACUUUCGUGAGCUAGGAGGGGAAUUUGGAGAGGAUUUUCGAAAAAAUGGAGAGUGAAUCCGUUGAGCAAAAAAUUCGUGCAUGAGAGAGUUCUAAAAAAAAAUACAAAAGAAAGGAAGGGAAAAGCUAUAUCUGCAGAAAGGGAAUAGCAGUAGAGAAAGCUCGUCUGAGGGGACGUGCUGCAGCAGUGAAAAGAAAAAGAAAAAAAAAGAAAGAAAAAGAAAAAGGAAAAAGAUGAAUCACUGUUCAUCUUCUUCGUGAAAACUCCUUAGCCGGUGUCCACUGCCGCUCGACGCCCGUAGCAACCGUCUGCUGUCCUCUGCGCCGGCCACCACUCAGGCCACCUCCACGGUCGCACCUCAGCUCGUGCCGAAAGCUCGACACCAGACUGCCGCUCCAAGCCUCCAGCCGCGAGCCCGUGUCGAGCCGUCGCCCCCUGUUCCGCCCGCGACGUUGCCCGCCGAUCUCGCUGUGCUGCCCAGCCGACGCCGGAGCUCCGAAGCCUGCCGCUCCCGACGCCGCGCCACCGCACCGCUCGCCUCAGCCCAGCACCUGGUGCCUUCGCCGCCCAUCUCCGCUCACCGGACGCCGUGAUCGCGAGCCCGACGCCGCCGCACCAGCUGCCCGAGGCCUCCUGCCGUCCCUGCAUCACCCCACCGUUCGAAGCCCGCGACCUGACGACUUGCGGUCCGCGAUCCGCGCUCUAGCUCUGUCGCCCCUCCUCUGCCCACGAAGCUGCAGCUGCUGCCAAGCCGAGAUCCAGGCGCCGGAGCUCCCCUCGUCGCCGCCCAGCUUCGCCGGAGCUCCAACCGCGACGCCCUUGCCAGACCUUCGAUUAGCCACCCUUGGUCGAGCCCCACGGCUGCCAAGCCCAAUUUUUGAGAAAAAAAGAAAAAAAAGAAAAAGAAAACACAUUAGGUAGUUUUCUUUAGUUUAGUUUAUUUAUUUUAUUUUACUUUAUCUUGUUUUUUUAGUAUAAUUAGUCUUUAGUAUAUGAUUGGAAAUUCCAACAUAUCACCUGAUUCGCAAUCGCGCCAGGAUUUUUAUUUCAUCUAUAAGAUCUUAGAUGAAAUAAUUAAUUAAGUGGGAAUAAAAUUGAUAUUUUGAUCUUUAAGGCUUAUUAUCCCUUGAUCUGAAUGAUGUGUGAUAUCCUUGGUUUAGCUUGUCAUGAUCGCUUUGUUUAUCUUGAAAUGUGAUUGGGUUAUAAUAUUGCAUGUUUUAGGGUUUACAUAUUUAGAAUGGGGAUCUUAUUUCGAAUUCUAAAAUAAAUAAAAAAUCAAAUCAAUCAAUUUAGAUUGCUAGAUUUUUAAUUUGGAUUGCAUGUUUAAUUAUUGGCAAUUAUUAAUUUCGAAAUUAAACAAAAACAAAAAAUCAUCAUAUACUUGUCAUGUAGUGUUAAAGCACAUUUGGCACGUCAUUGCAUAUUAGGACUAAAUUGCACUUAGUUCAAUUCUAGAUAAUAUUUUUUCUUAAUUUGUUAUAAGUUUAGGUAUUUUUUAGAUAUAUUGCAUUUUAGGAUUAUUUAGAUUAAGAUAAUGUUUUAGUUUAAAUUAGGAUUUGGCUCAACCUAAUUCCUAAUAUAAAUUAAAUAGGAUCUUAAUCUAAUUAGGUAAUUUUCACAUUUCACCUGAAAAAUACAAAAAACAUGUCAUAGGUUAAAUUAGUUUUAUUAUUUAUGAUAAAAUGCAUUCUUUUAGUAAAAAGAAAAAAUGUCAUAUGCACGUCAUUAGGGCUAGAUUCACUGGGAUGCAUCUCAUUUAGUAUUUUUGCUAGGCCUAUUUAAUUAGAAAUUGCAUGACAUUAGAAUUAGGUCAUUUAGUUAAUAUUGCAUUGCAUAUUGCAUGAUUUUUAUUAAUUAAGUGAAAACAAAAAGAAAUUGCGUGUUAAUUAGAAACCAUAUCCAGGGUUGUUGAUGUGGUUUUUAACCUAACAUUGCAGAUGCUUUUGUUGUUUUGAGGUAAGUUUUUGCAAUUUAUUUAUUGUUUAUCUGGGUGUUAAAUUGGUGGAUUGCGCACCCGCAUGAUCACCUCACAUGUUAGGAAAAUAGAUUUGCAAAAGCAUUUUUUUUUAAAAUAAAAGAAUGGUACCAAAAGGGCAUUAGAGAAAUCUAGUGUAACCAAGUCCCCGUACCCAUAGUCUCUGGUUCGUAGGAAUAAAGUGAAACUCCCGUUACUUUACAUCGGUUUUUAAUCGACCCACCAAAAAAUAGAUUAGUGGCGACUCCUGACUAAAAAAUCAAUUGCAUGUUAAGAACUUGAACUUAAGUCGCGAAUUGGCAUGGGCUUGGGAUAGCCCGAAUUAAGUCUAGGCUUAACAAUCCAUUAGCCAAAUCCUAGGUGGUUCACACCCGAAAAAUUAGGUCGCGACAAUCUUCUAAUAGUUACAUGUCAAGAGCUAGGGAAUUGAUCCUGUUAACUUCGAUAUUCGAGUCAGUAAACUCAUUGUCAAGAUCAGUAAACUUGUCCUCCAGAUCAAUAAUGAUUGGAGUGAUAGUCGAAACUAUGCUAGUAUGAUCUACAUAAACAAUCAUCCCCUCCUUGGACAUUGUCUUAACUCUUUACAUCUUCUAGAACAUGGUGGGCUCUUCCACACCUGAAUAAUACCCAGCUUGAACUAAACCAUUAUAAACAUCAUCUACACGUAUUUUCAAGCUCUUCUUUCUACUAGCAUCAAGACUAAAGAUGGCGUUCACAGCUUCUGUGUGGUCAAAGAGCGGUUAUUUUGGAUGUUCGGUUGUGCAUUGUGGAAUGAGACCACCUUGGCAUUCAGAAGAUUUUGGAUUUUGUGUCUUAGUGUAUAGCAAUCGUCAACAGAAUGCCCUACCUCUCCCAUAUGGUAAGCACAUGUCUAAGACGAAUCAUAGUUCGGGAAACGCUCAGGAUUUGAUUGCUUAGGCUCUUUAGCAAAAAAUCCUUUCUUUUGAAGGGUUGACAAGAUCUUGGACAAAGGGUUUAAGAGGUGGCAUGAACUAACGCCUGGAAGAGUUCUUCAGUUGGUCAAAGAAUGGUCAUGCUCCUCCCAAUUGGGCGUUCAGGGUAGAGUGAGGUGGUUGAAUAUAAGUUGCAUUAAUCUCCUUAAUAGGUUCCUUAUCCUUCUUUGUUGAGAAUCUCCUAUACGAGCUAGUUUGAUCAGACGUCUAUCCAUCAUGCAAGCUACCUCAAUUCGCUCACUAACAAUGAUUAGUUGAUUGAAUGACUUAGUAGUCAACCUAGCAUUCGAUUUCGAUUUUUGGGUGGGAGUGUCUUCAUGAACAAAUCCAUUAGCUCCUUCUCCAUUAGCUCUAGAUUAAUUUGAGCGGCCACGGUCCUCUAUCUCGUGACAUAUGCCUUGAAAGAUUUCAUCUUCUUUUUCUAUGCGAAGUAAAUCUUCUUGAGAUGGAGUGACGUUGAUAUUAUGCUUAUAUUACUUGAAGAAAGCAUUAGUCAAAUCCUCCCAAGUCUCUAAGAGAUUAAUUUUCUUCAUGAUGUACCAUUGUGGUGCCAGCCUUGUCAAGCUUGCUUAAAAUUGUUGAAUCAUCAAGGAUAUAUUGUCAACAUAUUGGGUCAUCCUGACAACAUAAGUCUGUUGAUAGAUCUUCAAGCACGAGGUGUCAUCAUACUUUUCAAAGUCUGGCAUUUUGAACUUCUUCAGCAUAUUGACCUUUGAGCAUAAUGAGAUAGGUCAGUCGGCCCUUGGGUCAGUGAACCCUAUAUCUGCUUAAGUUUCUCCUUGAUUUUUGCCUAGCAUUUUUCUUGCUUAGUUUUCGACACAUCCGAAUGUAUCACUUGUACCUCAUCAUUAGCAACAAUUUGAGGUGCGUUAGUGUUUUUAACCAUGGGGCUUCAUCAGAGGUUGAUGGACAACUUACGGAUCAGAGGUUGAUGGAUCACUUGCGGAUGUACUCUUGCCUUUAUCUCUCGAAUCAACCAUGGGAGCAUGUUGUGGUACUACUUCAACUUGUGGAGCUAGUGGGACAAUGUUUGCUCAAAGGGAAUCGAUUUGUUUAUAAAGCUGCUCAAGGACAUUCAGGACUUGCUUCAUCUCCAUUUCAAGGAUAGCGAUGUGAGCUUGUUUAGCAACAUGCAUUUGUUUGGUGUUAUUAGCCAUUGCUACUCUAGAACAAGUACAUAUUGGCGAUCUUGGGCUAGCCGUGUUGUAUCAAUGUUACCUAAAAAUGUAAAAAGUACAGUAAGCAUCAUAACAAAUGAGAUUGGUCCAUGACAAUGGUCGAUCGUGCAUUUUAUUUAAGUGAAAUCAAAUUCCAAAGACAUCAACUUAAGAAAUUAAAAUAGCUCCUUAGGAAAUUAAAUUCCUAAAAUAUUAAUCUAAGAAAUUGAAAUAACACCUUCAAGCUAGAAUUAAACUUCUAAAUCUAGCGACUAUUUUCCAUAUACAAUUGGGAGAUCAUUGUCUUUUGAAACUUUUUGUUUUGUCGAACCAAUUCGGAGAUACGAGCCUCAUUCAUUUUCACCGUUUCUUCAAUAUGUUCAAUUUGUGCUUUACAAGUGGGCUUUACCUCAGGUAUCAUGGGAAGUAGAGCUAGAGGGAUUUUAUGCUAGUGAAUAUAAUAAUCCGAAGCGUGAAAAAGUCUUCUCUUCUCCCUUCAACCUUCUAAGCACAACUAUCUUUUAUGGGUGGCAUUCCUUUCACACAUUUUCGAAGCACUCAAUCUUGUCCAAGUAUUUGUGAUCCUUAUGCAUGAAGCAAGCUUGAAAUAGGUCUAUCUAGAGAGGAGGUGAGAUAUUCUCGAUCACUUAAUACUAGCGGGCCACUUUGUAAGGGCAGUAAGAUGUCAUGCCAAUGAUUCCCAUCAAUGGAACUAGAUCAUUUGUCUUAUGAGAAAAACGAGCCACACUAACAUGAACAAUUUAGCAUACCAAAGGAAGCCCUUGGGAUCUAGAUCUUUUAGAAAAGUUACCCAAUCGAAAAAUGACUUCCUUGUAUACUUUUUCUCUGAGAUUGAAAAUUUCUUUAUUGGAUGAUUAGAAUCAUCAAUUUCACAUCGACGCAUGAAAUGACCAAACUCCUUCAUGUGAGAAAGAAACCAAAUUUGUAAAGUUCAAGAGAGGCAGUCAUGAUUUCUGCUCUAUUUUUUUUAAAAACAAUUGAGGGAUAAAAAUGUCUCAGCUCAAAUCAUGCUUAUAAAAUUCUUGUCAGUACAUACUUGUCUAACCACCCAUGCAAUUUAAGGAUUAAUAGCAUUUUUUCGAUGAGAAAAGAUUAUAAAUCCAAAGAAUACUAAGAUGAAUAUCCUACCAUUUUGCCACAUUGAAGAUUGAUUUAAAAAAUGAUUAGCCAAAAAGGAGAAUGGGCACGCAUUACAAUUAGCUUUCAACAUUUUCCUAACCUCAUCAGUUUUAAUUCUUAAAAACUGAGAUAAAAUUGAUGUGGGCUCUAUACCAAGAGGCAGCCUAACAAGUUCAACCUCAAGGGGCAUUCUUAUGAUAACACUAUAUUCUUCUAGUGUUGGAGUUAGCUUAUUCUUACCAAAAAUAAAAGUAGUUGUCCCGGGACACCAAAAGUGUGAUGUGGCUUGCAAAACACCACUAUGGACUCCAAUAUCCAAAAGGGGGAUGAGUUGUCCCAGUAUUGACUCCACAUAAUCUUGGCCUUCUUUACUCAGUUUAGUCCACUACCCUUUGAGCUUGAUCUUGGGAGUUGGAACGAAUUGAAUAUUGGAUUUCCCUAUUGUAUAUAGAUUAAGACCCACGAUCGACCUUUUGUCAUCGACCAAAAUAAAGUGCGAUAAAGUAAAUAGAUUGCAUAGUAUAAGAUAAGAAUACUUACUUUACGAAGGAAAAAUUGCAACCACAUAGACAGGCGCAUGAGAUGUGAGGCUCAACACCUAAACGACAAGGCUUAGCAUGUUAGAGCCAAGAGAAUGGUCCAACUAGUUGCAAUCUUGCGUACAAAGGUUGGGUCCUCUUAGCUCUGUCUCGAUCAAAAGGAAAUCCUAUAAUAAUGUAUUUCGUAGACAAGGAUAAACAUUUUGACACCAGGAAAAAUUUUCGGGGUUGAGAAAGGCAAUCUCUCGCAGUCUCGCGUUCAAGGUUGGUUCAUUUCUCAACAUCAUCCUAGAAUCCUUAAAUGCGGCCCAAGUCCGACGGUAGGUUAUGUGUGCAAUGUAUAGUGCUAAAACCAGUUUAAAAUCAUGCACAACAAUUAAUAAUUCAAGCAACACUUCAAUAUAUAAGAAAAACAUUCAAUCUCAACACAUUCCUACAAAAUAAAAAGUCAGCAAGCAGUACUCUCCUUAUAACUCCUUUUUGCAAAAACAUUUAACACUUCAUGUUAAGAGCGUACCUUAUUUCCAUGCUGCCAAACAAAAAAUAUUUUUGAAAAGAAACAAGCUUAUGUCCACUAUGAGUUUUAACUCUAUCCCUAGUGAAGUCACCAAGCUAUUACGACCUUCCCAAAGGUAAAUUACCCAAGAGAAAGCUAAUGGAUUACUAAGUCCAAAGACUUAGCACGGACCCUCCCAAGUUCUACUAAUCGUAACUUGACGCUAAAAAAUUAAUACAUUUAAACAUGCAAUUUUACUCAAUUUAGAGCCGCCACUAAUCAAUUAGGGUUGAUUAGAAACCCAAUUAAAGUAUGGGAGAAUAUUUUACCUUUGCAAAUUAGAGAUUCAAUAGGUCUAAGGACAUAGUUAUGCUAACGCUUUCGGUACAUUUUCAUUUUAAUUUCAAAAAGUAUUUUGUAAGCAAUCUUGAUUAAUUUUAACCUAAGUCACUAACAUGCAAAGGGUGGUCAUGCGGGUAUACAAUUAAUUAGAUAACAUUCAAUAAAUCAAAGUGGUAAAUUGAAAGAAUUAUGACUAACCUAAGCAAAACAAACGACAACUUUAUCAAGGUUUAUUAUAUAUAAGCUUACAAAAUGUUAACUAAAAAAUGCAUGCCCUAAACAUGAUUUCUAAAUGAUAUGACACCUAAUUUUUUAUUUAUUUAAUGUGAUAGGCAAUUCAUAUGACAUAACUUGAACCAUCACAAUAUGUGUGCAAUCUAAUUUACAUGAUCCUAAAUAUACAUGUGCUACAUGAUAUAGAAUGGAUGACGUGAUAAUUCUAUAUGCAUGUUCUUUUUAUGAUUUUAUUUUAUUUUUUCUGUUUUUUUAUGACUUUUCUGUUAGAAUCAUAUUUACUAUAUUACAUCUAAACUGAGGAAUAAUUAAAUCUAUCUUAACCAUGAAAUUUCCUACGUUCCUAUAUUAUCAUAAAAAAGCAAUUCUUACAUGAAAUGCAAUCUGACCUAAAAAUUUUAUAAGAAAAUUUACUAGAAAUUAACACAAGAAAUGUAAUUAGCCACAUAAAAGAUAAUUCACCCCGACUCAAGAUAGAAGAUCACGAUAAUCAAAAAUCUAAUCUGACGUCUCUCAGCUCAGUAUUUUUUAUUAUUAUGACCCUCAACAUGACAAUUUUCACACCUGAAUAAUGUCUAACAAAAUUACCAAUCAUGAUUAGAAGCAAAUAAUUGUAAAUUAAGGGUCUGUUCGUUUCGCGGAAAAUAUCACGUUUUCGGAAAAUAUUUUCUAGGAAGUCAUUUUCUUGGAAAAUGACUAUUUUCUGGUGUUCAGCUAAAACUUGAACUUUGAGUGGAAAAUAUUUUUCACCGUUCGUUAGCUAAUUUAAUUGUUUUGAAAAAAUUAUCAAAAAAUGAAUUUUAAUAUUUUUAAUUAACCAAAAACUUGAAAUUUUGUAUUAUUUAUUAUUUUUUAUUUUUUCUUUCUUUUUCUUUUUUCCCUUUUCUUUUCCUUCCUCCUCCUUCCUCCGCCGCCACAUGCCUGACGAGCUCGAGGCUCAGCUGAUCUCACCAGAGGUUUGUCGGGCUCUAGCGAGCCGCGAGCUCGCCGGAUCUGGCAACAGACCUCGGGCUCGCCAAUCAAAGGAGCCCGAGCUCUGCCGCCAAAUUUGGCGAGCUCACAGCUCGCUAGAGCCUAGCGAACCUCAGGCAAGCUCGAGUGAGGCCCAAGCCUCACCCAGCUUGCUAGAUCUAGUGAGGCCCGAGCUCCGCCCCAAGUUGGCGAGAGCUCUGCCUCACCCGAUCUGGCAAGGCCCAAGCUUCCUGGGCUCAGGUAAGCUCAACUUCGGUAGAUCGGGCUAGGCAGAGCCUUGCUGGCUUGGGGCAAGGGUCGACUUGGCUCGUGGCCGGUGGCUGGCGACCGGCCAAGGCCAAAGAAGUAGAUGAAAACAAAAGAAAAUAAAAGAAAAAAAAAGAAAAGGAAAAAAAAUUAAAAACUCGAUUUAAAAAAAAUAAAAAAGAAAAAAGAAAAAGAAAGCAUAAAAAUAACACGAAAAUGUAUUGGUGAAAAGAAGCAAGAUAGAAGAAGUUAUGGAAAACAUUUUCCUCACUUUUUAAGGUUGUUUUUUUUUCCAAUGAUGGAAAACAUUUUCCUUGACUAGUUCAUUUUUUGUGAAAUGACACUGGAAAAUCCGGAAAAUGUUUUCCUAGAAGUCAUUUCCCGAAAAACGAAUGGAGUCUAAAAAUAAAUAACCAGCUUAAACUCGGAUGAAGAAAUUACCUAGUUCGGAAAAUUUACUUUGAAAAGCGGGACCGAUAAUGAAACAAUGCAAGGAUGAAGAUGAGUCCACAGAUUGACGAUUACUGGUAUGUGGUGCUUACAUCCAUGGUCAAUCCGGCACAAUUCGACAAUGAUAGGAGAACCGAACAAGCCAAAGAUGACUUGGAACUUCAACAGUGGCACCAAACUUAGCUGGCAACAACAAGCGCAAACACUUGGGGAUUAUUGCUUGCUGGAAAAAUUGCUAAUCACUUGAAAUCCUGCCCAAAAAAAAAAAAAAAAAGUGGUUUGACAAAAGUUUUGUCCAGCACGUUUUAAGCUGCGCGCUAACGAUUGGAGAAACUCUCCGGAUUGUAUGUGGUUCGCCGGAAAGUUCACUGAGAAGCCUGAAAUAGUAAUGUGUUGCGGACACCGCUAGAAACUCGAUGGACGUCUAUGAUGGCUUCGGUAACGCAAGGUGCGGCGAUUGAAACGUGUGAGCAAAGUCGAUCAUGAUGAUUGGGGGCAGGGCUGGUGUGUCGAACGGAAAUGCAAGAAUGCCAGGGAACUCAUCGGUGCGGCCCAAAGGAGUCUUCACAGGAGCCAGGCCAUAUCAAUAGAUAACAACAGCCUCGCCGGAGUUGCAAGUUGCGUCAAGAAGAUGGUGGCUGCGACCCCCUUGAAUGAAACCUCACGAGCCUUUGCAAAUUUCUCUCCCCCUUCAAACGAAACUCCACCAGCACUUUGCCGAUUUCUCUCUCCUCAUGAAACCACAAGAAUACUUUUGCCAAUUUCUUCCCCCCUGCCACGAAAAAAUUGUUUUGCAAGUGAAGAUUUUCCAAGAUAAUUGCACAUAUUCACUCAAUCAACGACCAUCAUCUUCCGAAAAGAGGAACUAUGCUCAAUAAGAAAAUGGCUCCAUUAUUCAAAAUCUCAAAUCUUUUGUGAAGAUUUUCCAAGAUAAUUCACUCAAUUGCUGAUGAUCAUCCUCCAAAAAGAGAGGAUAUGCUCAAAAAAAAAAAAAGCUCCAUUAUUCAAAAUCUAAAAUCUUUCAAAAUCUCCCCCACAACCAAAUUAUUUUUUUUCUAUUCUCUCUUUUCUGUUUUCUAUUUUUUAGAACAAUUUUUUUAAAGAUAAGUUUGGUCUUGAAUGUUAUUGUUACCUAAAUGCAAUGUUUAUGAAAUGCUUAAUGUAAUUUUGACAUUUUUAUAUGACGAACAUGUAAGUAAAAUAGUCAAAAUUUAGGUGUCAACAAAAGUAGAAAAAAUAAUAUUUCAUAUAAAAUGCAUUAGAAAAUUAGUCUAUGGUUUUUUUUAUUUGACUUUGGAUUGCAUCCAUACAUUUAAAAUAUGCCUUCUUCUGCACAUAGAAUUUAGAUUGUAUCUUCAUGUAGUAACUGUUGGAAAAUCAUUCCUAAGUAUUCCUUUGAUGAUUUUCAAAAUAUCCUUAAUAUAAUAUAUACUAUGGUAUUUACAUAUGUUCAAGAUAACUAUCAAGGACUACGUGAUAACCAUAGUGUGAUCCAUUGGGUGAUGAUCGCAAUGUGUCCUGAUACGUUUUUUUUUUCCAAAACAGCAAAAACAGACCUAAAGAUCAACCUACGCCAAUAAUAGAUGCUAUUGAUAUUAGGUCAAUGGUGAUGUUUCAACAUCAAAGUGCUCACGGGCUUAUUAAUAUUGCCGCUGUCGAGUGGAGGUGCAUAGCAAAAGAAAUCAAAAGUCAAUAGAAAAUGGAAAAUAUAGGUUAUCUGACAGACUUGUCAAAAGCUGUAGCGAUAGGAUAGCAGCAUAAGCUAUUCUUGGAUAGUAUGCAAAUGUUCAAGAAAAAGGGUUAUAUGGGCAGCACUAUCUUUGGACAGCAACAUCAACGGUAAACUCUAAUGACUCCUUGCUACUCUAAAGCAUCUCCAAUGGAAAGAUUAAAGAUAGAUAUUAAAGAGAAUAUUUUUGAAACCACAUGUUAGAGACGCGCAUAUACAAAAGACCAAAAUAUGCUUGAAGCUUUGUUCUUAGCAAAAAGAUCUUAUUUGUUUGUUACCUUGAGCGUUGUACUCUUGCCACCAUUAUAAUCAUAUAAAAGAUCAAGUGUACCAAUUGAUAGUAUUACCUAAUUUUCUCAUAAUGGAUCUAUCAUCUGACAGGAGUGGCGUGUGUUGUGUGUAACUUCUUCAGCAAAUUAUUAGUGUAAUUCAGCUCAACUUGUGGCUAUUAGCGAGGAGAGUGGACGUAGGCUUCGAGAAAGAUCGAACCAUUAUACAUCAUUGUUUGCUGCUGAUUUUCUCUCUCUUUAAUUACACAAGUACAUAAUUUGCACACGAGCUUUGAAAUAUCAGCUUAACUUGGUCUUUACUUAGCAUCUGCUAAUUUUCAUGAAAGUUCAACAAAAGUUUCAAAACAACUUAUUCAUCCCAUUCUAAAUUGUAUUGUUAGCCUCAACGGUAACUUGGGUCAUACAUUUUAAUUUAGUUAGUGCAUGCUUAGGAAUCAAUACAUAUUCUUUUGUUUUGUGGACUUUUAGGGUUGUUUGUUUUUUGUUGUUUAAUAAAAGGAAAUUAACAAAUUGUAUAAGUCAGGAAUAUCAAUUUUUUAAAACUUCAUAUUGCGUGAUAUUUAGUGAGUCACUUGUCAUCUAGGAUUCAUGUUUUUUUUUUAAUUACUUUCAUAAUGUGUAACUUAGAACUUAUCAUGCAUAUCAUAUGAUCACAUCGCUCAUGUCACCUAGCCUUUUAGUUAGCACAAUUUAAUUAGUCAUUCUUGCAUUUUCUUAAAUUAAGCAUGUUAAUUUUUUUUUUUAAUUGGUCCUACUCUGCAUCUAUCACAUUCUCACUCUCAGACUUUUUCUCUAUUUCCUUGCCAAGCAUGGGAGUCGAAACCCACACACAAAACUAAAGUGCCCCCACCCCAACCCCUGAGAAGGUGGGGAUUUGAAUCCCCCACCCUCUUUCCCACGUGGCAAGGGUGAUGAAUAGUGAUUUAUUUUGCUUUGCUUAGCACAUCCACAUUCUUAAAAUCUUUUGCAAUCCAUUUACUACUUAGAUUAUUGGUGUUACUUAAUAAAAUGUUCACCGGCAUCAUCAUCCCUCACAUAUUAAUGGCAUAAGAUAAAAAUUGAUAAAGAUUGCAUGCAAAACAUUUUCAAAAUAAAGAGAAAAGAUACCGAAAAGGUUUUAGAUUAAUGUAACAUAAUCGAGUCUCUAAAUCCAUAAUCUCUUGUUCGUAAAAGUAAAAUAUACUUCUGAAUUUUGUUUAGAUGUCUAAUUGGCCCAUAACCGAUUAGUAACAAUUCCAAAAAGUAAGAUAAGUUGCAUCAAUCAAGUUGUGCUUGGUAGACCUUGCAAGAGCCUAUGCUGAGCAUUACACUUAGUAAUUCAUUAGCUUUCCACAGGUAGUUCACCUCCAAAAAAUUUGUGACAUCUUAAAUUGCUAAUGUGGUGAUUCAGUAUUGCUGGUUGUCCUAUUGAUUUCCAGUGAAAAUUUGCCGAAAAGACUACACUUAAUUUUGCACAAAAUCUUUGUGACUAAAUUGCUAAUUUUUAAUUUUUUUAAAAGUAGGAUUGGAUUGACAACCAUAUAAUAGAUUUAGGACUGACUAGAUAAUUUUUUUAAUUGAAGCAUGUGGUCCUCUUGGGUUAAUUAGGUAUGAAGGUAUUCCUUCCUCCUCUAUAACCCAAUUUCUACUUUCUUAUGAACCAAAUAUCUGAAACAGAUCGGUUUAACUUCGACAUCUUGUGAACACAAAUAGAAGCGAAUGGGUAUAGGUUAAAAUAGUUACAAGUAAGCAAUCUCUCUGAGUUUCAUUGAAAUGAGCUUGCUUUGCAGUAAAUCUCCCAAGGAUCCAAGUUUCAUCUUGAGCCUCAAGUUAAACCCCAAUUUGGAGCUCCUUCAAGCUUCCAGGGGCCGAGUCCAAAGUCAUUACCACUUUCUUCAACUGCAUUCUCAAGAAGCUGGAAUGCAUCAUAACAAUGUAAAGAUCUUAUUAACAAACAUGGGAGUUAUCAUUUCUGUCUAAUGAGUAUCAGAUCAUUAUCUGGGGAAUGAAUCCAAUAAAAAUCUAAGCAAACAUCAAAUUUAGAGCAAAUAUAAUUACCUUCACAGAAGUAGAUAUGAGCAUAGCAUAGAGUAAAGAAUAAUCCAAAAAUUAGAUCUAAGGAAUUUCUGUAUAUUUUGGUAAUAACAUAAUGAAAAAUACAUCAGUCUAUUUAUAAGAUUUUUAGAUAACAUAUUAAUCAAAACAUACAUAAUCAGAUGGAGAUAUACUCAAAACUUUGAGAAAUAUGAAUAAAUCAUUUCUAAUAUAGAAAAAUAUCAUAAUUAUCUCUAACAUCCUCUUGAACUCAAAUGUGUAUAGAAGUCAACUUGAGUUUAGAUUAAAAAAAAAAAUCCGAAAAAUGCUUAGUCGAUUGCCGAAACAGUUCGGUUUGUUGAAGAGAUAACCACCUAUCGUUGACACAGCUGCUCACGUGGCUGUUAUGGGUUGUUGUAGUUGUUGUGCAAGCUACAUAGUCAGAGAUUAUCGUCGAAACAGGAGGCCGCCGUCGAGGCAAGAGGAGGCUGUUGUCGGAACAGCCUGCUAUGGAUGUUGUGCAGGCUAUGUGACAACAAAAUAGGCUGACUUAGGAGCUGAUGUCACCAUUGGACGAUAAGAACAAUGCCGAAAUCGAUGUUGAUUGGAAGAUAUUACGACUUACUGAGAAAAAAAAUCAUAAGAGGCAAGAUCAAGUGUGCCGUCGUGCACUCAGAAGUGCAACGUGUGCACAUUAGGAUCGUGUAGCUCUUAUACCAAGUUGAGAAUAAUGCAGAAAAUAGAUUUAAAGAAUUUUUGUAUAUUUCGAUAAUAACGUAGUGAAGAAUACACCAAUUGUAUUUAAUUUCUUAUAACUAUCUGUUGUUGUUUCAAUUUUCUCACAUUUUCAAGUGACAUGGAUGGCUCAAAAACACUAUAAUAGAUAUUGCAUAUCCAAUCUUUUUCCGUGGUCAUCCAUGGACGGUUCUAGUCGGAUAAAAUAUGUUCGCAAUAGACAAAGUAAGAAAAUAAUGUAAAUAUCACAGCAUUGUCUUAUCGAAUAUUCGACAGAUCGAUGCAUUUGGACAAAUAUCAUAUGCUUUACAUGAUGAGCUUUGGAGAAAAAGAGUCAUGGUUGCUGGAAAAUCAGUGAUUCUCAGAAUCGUCAUUAACUAUUGAGAUUGUCGUUUGGUUCUUAUCCUUCUAAAUCCUGCCCCACUCCCCGAGUGUCAAGUCUAGGUAAAAAUCAAUCCACUGCGACAAGUGAUUGCGACCUGAUAUUAAUGUUAUCUAGCUAGCUUUAUUAACCAAUAAUUAACCAUUAUCAAGGGUUUACGUUGCUUAUAGAAUAAAAAAAGCCGAAGUAUUGAGCGAUCCUCUGAAAUGUUGUGUGAACAUAAGACGUGACUCAUCACAUUUGUUUUUCCCAAAAGAAAAUUAUAUUCAUUACUCAAAAAGAUACAUAAGAAAUACAUAGUCUUCAUAAUAAAGCAAAUCAAAACAGAGCAAGAAUACUAAAGGCAAAGCCAAAUUCAAAAACCAAGGAGAAUUAACAGAGCUCCGGUAAAGAUAAGAACGAGUGGUUCUAUCAAGCAAAACAAUCGAUGGCUAAUCACUAGAUCCCAUGUUUUUGUCAGUAAUGAGCACAUGCUAGAAUUUCUUCUCCAAAACUAUGACGUUGCCAAUUGUAGUGCGCACCUAGGUUUGAUUUCCAUUACACCAACACCAUACGGAAACAAUCAAGAUAGGUUGAACAAACAAUAUCUAACAGGCGGAGGAACAAAACUUUGUGAUUCAAUGAGACACAAAAGCUUCUGCAAUCAUCAUUGAAGCUAGAGACAAAGAAUCUAUACACAAACAAGGUAGAUGGGUAUUGAAUCCCCAAAAGUAUAUUUAGUAAACUUCUAGACCUAAAUUGAGAGAGAAUAGAACCUAGAACUCGAUCAAGAGUGUUCAAGCUCUCAAAUUGAAAACUAGAUUGGGAGAAAAUAGCUCCCAAAUCUAAAAUGUGAGAGAAGAAAAGGGAAGAAAAGAACAAUAAAAAGCAAACAAAAUCAAUAAAAGAGGAAGGGGAGGGUGAGACUAGCCCAAACCCUCUCUCAUUGCUGAAGGUUGAAGAAGAUGAUAUAUAAAAAAGAGACGGGGAGAAAGAAAAGACUUUUCGGCUCCCAAAAGCAAUAGAAUUAUUUUACUUAUUGCAUGUUCACCUGCAAUAGAUGCUACUUAAUCUUUUGCAAUAAAGGUGAAAGGGUUGAUAUCUUCACGAUGUAUAUGUAUACACUCAUCUAAGCAGCUAACUGGACAAAAAGAUUGCAUAGAAUUGUCACGAUGUAUUCCGCCGGAGGGAGUGGAGACGCGCCUGACACUUGUGGCCCUCCGUCCCAGGGGGAUCCCCAAAAUUUAUGAAACAAAAAGAUUGUCGUCCGACGUACAUUUUUGCCGUCAAUGAGAUGGCGGAUCAUUUAAAAAAUGUCACUGAUUUCAAGGGAGUUUUUCUUAUACAAAAGUGUAAAGAUUUUCUUGCACAUGCUUGUUAGGGGGAAAUUACAAAAAUAGUCAUAAAUUUAUUAUAUAAAUACCAAUUCACUCCUACACAUAGCCAAUUUUAUUCUAAACAUUUUGACAAUUUAUGAUCAUGUUGGUUAAUUUUGGCCGAUAAGCACUAACAAUUUGCAUUGUCUUUUAAUUUUUAUAUAUUUUUUUUAAAAAAAUUCUUUUUCUAUUCUUUACUUCUUUGUUUUUCCUUCUCCCUUUGCCAUUCACCAAGCCUUGGUAAUGGUUGGUGACCAGCCAUAAGCAAGGGCUGAUGAGGUUCAACCUUGUUAACUGCGACUAAGGCUUGAGCUUGCAUGAGGUUAGCAAGGUCGACCCUUGCUAGAAGCUAGUGACCAACGAAGGGAGAAAGGAGAAAAAAAAAGAGAAAGAUAAGAAAAGAAAGUAAAAUUUAAAAAAAUUUAAAAAAUUGUUCAUGUCAUCGCUAACCACUCUACGAUCAUGCCAUGUGGGAUGGCUAGCUUUUAUAUCUACGAUUGUCGACCAAACUUGGUCAGAAGAAUUAAACUAGCAGAUCGUAAAAAAAUUUAGAACCAAUAAAUUUAGGAGUUUUUGGACAAUUUCCCGAACCUCUAAAUUGGUAUGAAAAUGGCUAAUUCACCUGCUUUUCCUUCGCCCUGGCAAAAUUGUUAUUAAUUGAAUGAGAUGGCUAUUUCGCAAGUGAGAGAGAGAAAGGCUAGGACACACCGUGAGAGAGAUUGAGAGGGUUGCGAUGUUCCUAGCCUUAAACACGGCCAUGUUCUUAGUCAAUUUGCUUUUGGAGAAUGACUGAAUUAGAGGUGGAACCCAUAAGUCCCCUAUUUUGUCCUUUGUGAUGGCGAUUUACACUGCAAUAUAUUACGACCAUUUUUACUUUUUCCCUUUUUUCAUUUUUAUCUUUGCACAGAUCUUCUUACCUUAUUUCGAAGCUCAAAUAAUAUAUUAAACCUUCGCGAAAAAAUAAAGGGCAGUUUCCUUUUAAUUUAAAACAAGUCUAAAUAGACAGGACUCAAUUAUUAAAAAAAAAUUAAUAGAAUUUUUGGAGUCACAUAUCCCGGUGGAACCCAAUAAUUUCAUUUUCAAAACUUAUUUGCAUAACUCGAGUCUCAAUCUUCAGAAAAUGUUUAUUGCAUCAGAUACAUGAUUUUAGAAUGGCUCUGAGAGAAACAAGUCGACCGUAGUUAGGAGUUUUCAAAAGGUGAAAUGCAAAUUUCCUCGAGAUGAUUGGUCGGUAUGACUGAUCGAUUACAUUAUUUAAACAUAAGAUCCAUAAAGGAUAGGCUUUCUCCCUCAACCUCGCGUUUGUCAUGCUCUUCAUCAACCUUGCCUUCUGGAAUCCUCAAACACGAAGGAAUAUGGAAAUUCCAUGUGACACUACCUCAAUCAAUUUCGAUAUUUGCCUAUGAAUCUUUAUUAAAUAACAACUAGCUAAAAUUCUCGAAAGGAAAUUUGAGGAAUAACUCGGGGCCAAUGGGCCCAUUCAUCACGGGGUCUACAAAACUAUCAUUUGCCAUUCCAUCAAGAAGUGGAAAGAAGCAAAGUGAAAGAUACAGAAGACGUAGAACAUUGCAACGCAAAUGAAACAUUUCAAAAAUAAUUGAAUGGCACGUGUCUAAGUGAGAUAGGUCUAAUCCUACAAUAAAUUAACGUGCCUACUCCUUCUCACCAUGCAAGAACCGCAGAAAACAUGUCUCCGAAAAACAUCCUAGUGUUUUUCCUGCUUCUAGUGGUGCUCACCACUGCCGCUCUCGCCGACCAUGGCCCUCCGCAUAAGCCACCGCCGCAUAAGCCGCCACCACAUAAGCCACCUCCGACAGAGGAAAGCACCACCCUUGACCAAACCCUUACCACCUUUGAUGGUGGCAAGAAGAAACCACCACCAAAAGAGAAACCUCCAAUGGAAGAAACUGCCACCCUUGAUGAGGAAACCCUGACCACCUUGGACGGUGGCAAGCCUCCCAAGAAGAAGCCUCCACCAAUAAAGCCACCACCAAAGCACAAGCCUCCAGCAGGUGUUGAGGACGCCCACAAGCCACCCGGUGGUUAUAGCCGUAGGCCGCGGCCACCACCUUCGAACUAAUCAUAAGUAGCCAAGUUCGUCUCAUGGCAUAUGCAGAACGUGGUGUACUAGAAUAAGAGCUUGUAUUCAAUCAGUUGGUCAUGACUACUGCAAUUUCAUGCUAUCAAUAACGUCUCGUCAUGUAAUUCACAGUCAUGCAGUCUGGCCUACUAGAUCUCGGGCAAGUUAAUGUGCAUGAGACAUGUGUGUAUCCAUCUUCUGAGUGUUGUAAACUUAAAUAUAAGUGGUUCGCUCUUUAUGUUAUUAACUUCUUCUCUCGCAUAAUUGUAGGUGUUUCAUAGCAUUGACAUGGGCACACGCCAGUCGUUGAUAAUAACUUUCAUCUCAUCCUCAUGUGAUUAAAUGCUCACGGCACGGUUGGCCAAAAAUGUCUAAAAGCACUCUAUUCAAAUAUAUACUCUCCUCACUUUUCUCUUUCAGUUUACACCAAAAACUUAGCUAAGUCCACGGCGUAAUACUGAUUCAAAUAAACGUGUAACCUGUACAAGGUGUGACCAUUGGUGGGGCACCGACACGUAAGCCUUUAUCAAUGGCUAUACCGAUCGCAAGAACUCCUGUCGAUGGCUAUGCUUAUCAAUGACCAUGAUCAGUUAUUGACAUAGAUAGUGGUUGGUUGCCGAUUAGCAAAAUUGGCUGAGGAAGAUGGUGAUUGAAAGGUGUAGAUAAACAGUCAAAUGAUUAAUCACUCGAAAUUUAACCGUUCGACAAGUAGAAGUGGAAGAUCAUGAUGCGAUUAUAAAGAAAAACUACCCAUGGAUGGAAAAUCGUGGUAUAUGGAGCUGGAAAUUUCGGAGAUGUGAAAACAUAGCCAGAUCCGCUGGAGAUCUGAUUACGGAUAGUUAUGUUGCGAGUACUGUAAAUACCAGUGUUUGUCUACUAUAAGCCUCCCCUUGCCCACAUAUAAAACAAACAAAUCUUCUUAUCUUUCAAUUAUAUUUCAAUUCCUAUAUCAUAGUCCUAGCUGUAAUUUUGAGAUAUCUCAUAGUCAGUUAAAUUCAGGCAUGUAUUUUAGCCGUCUCUGUUGGAGAAAUCCUCUUGAAGUGUUUUGAAGUUGACAAAACGUUUCCAUCAGUCUAGUCUGAAGACUUGCAGACUCUGCUAUUUAAAGUCUAAAGACCUCCGAACAGCCAGACUCGAGACUCAAAGUCUAUCCUCAUUGACAGUUUCUAAUCCGUUGAAGAAAAGCUAUCAAGAACUGGAUGUUUCAUUAAGCAUGUGGCCUUAUCGACUGGAGAAGAUCUCUUGGCUGGAUAUAACAUAACGGAAUCCUUUAUUUGAUCAUAAUUGAUUCGAAGAUUAAGGAUCCGAUGAUUGGCAAAGUAUACUUGGAAGGUUCUACUUAUGGAAACCGAGAUCCUGAUUGUAUGGAUGAACAGGAUUGAUGGGUUAUCGACAUGUUCCUUUAAUAGCUCGAAUGAUUUUCCUAAUUGAUUCCGUCCAACGGGUAGAUUGGAGAAAUUCCUUUGGUAAGUGCCAAUGGGUAUGAUGGCAUGAAGGAGUAUAUAAGGAAGACGUUCCAGUUGUUCGAGUGUGUGCACGAUAGAAGAAUUCCAAAAUCUGAAGCUCCUUGUUCUUAGUCAAUUCAUUUGUUGAGCAAAAUCUUGUAAACAAAAGAGAGUCUAUAUUAGUGAGAAACCUUGAGGAAGUGUGGUAGAACAUCUACACUGUGGAAUCAAGGAAAAUCUGUGCUGUAACUUCUCUUUUGUUCAUAGUGAAAUCCAGCCGGUGGGCUGUCAAUGCGGAAGAGUGGACGUAUGCUUGGAAUAAGCCGAACCACUAUAAAUCUUGUGUUCAAUUUUCUCUUCCCUAACCUUUACUUUACUUUGAUCGUAUUUUCUUUUCUAUCGUUUGCCUAGAAUCGCUUCCGUAUCUCGAGAAAUUGUUUGUGCACCUAUUCACCCCCAUCUAGGUGCUUAUACUAGCUAUCUCAGUCUCAUCAUGUUUUAGCUAUUGUAAUUUGUAAAGUGUACGUGUUUUGGUCCGUGAGUUCGUAUUCUUAUGUUGAUGAAAUGCUUCUCUAAUAUGUAAGCCCAGAAAAGAUGCGCCUUAAUAUAUUCCAACCUUCUAGUGAUAAGUUCGAGCCAUGAGAAGGUUAUUUUUUUAUUUAAAUAUAUAUCAAAUCCAUUUUAAAUUCGACAUAUAGAAGGCUAAUCUAAUUUCGGUCAUCUAAUCGACUAAUUUCUUCAAUUAAAUUGAUCUCUCAUGAAGACUAUCCUAAUUCGAUUGGACAACUACAGUUGCAAAUAAGAAUUGCAGAGCAUUGGAUUAUUUUGCAGAAUUCUGUGUUUGGCUCAAAAUUUUUGCUGUUCAUGAUGUAUUAAAGAAACUACAUUGAAAUAAGUCAUGUUAGGGAAGAGUAUAAUUUAACAUGCUUUCUCUAGUUCUUCCUUUUCUAAGUUUGAACGUAAUAAGUGAUAAAAUCUUGAUAUACUUUCUCUUUACCCAUCUUCUAACUUUUAAACUGUACAUAGAGAGAAAAUCGAAAUUGGGAGAUGAUGAAGGAUAAUUGAAAACGUUUUCUUUAAUUUAUUCUUUUGUUAAGGUUUAAAGUCAAUAAAAUACCAAAUGUUCAUGUAAUUUCUCUUGAUGACAAAUCAUUUGUCCCGCCCACACCUAUUGAAGGAUAAAAAGAUCAGCAAAAUUUUAUCCUCUUGCCAUUUACAAUAACCAAACAACACUCUUAUAUAGGAAAAAACUCAUUCACAUAGCGACAUAAAUGAUUCAACAGCAUGCAAGGAUCUUCCCACAGAUGAAGUAUUGAUUCUCCCAGAGCGUCCUAACUCUGCUUGAUGCCUAAUUUGCGUUAGAAUCGCAAGAAUCUUCACUCUUCAAAAGCGAAAAGUAUAUCUGCACACCUAAAGCCUUCCAUAGAUAAAAAGCUAAAGUUGCUACCCCUUACCUCGGGUAGAAUCAACAAACUUACUUUGCUAGUUGUACAAGGUUCUGAUAGAUGUUGUCCAAAUCGUUUUUUUGCGUAAUUUUGUGAGCUUUUGUUUCGAUGGAGGAGCAUCAUCCUUGUGGCCAGGCUCUAACAGUUAUAGCGAAUGGUGAUGGUGAAUGGCUCUGAGGCAAGCAAAUGAGAGCUCGGUAAUGGAGCAAGUUUCACUCACCAAGUUCUCUAGGAUGCUCGUGCAAGGCCCUCAUCAAAAUCUAUAAAAGCAAUGUGAUAUUGUAUUUGUACAAUCGGCUUUCAGGAUCAUCAUACAAUUACACAACUGCAACGAGACUACUGGCAUGACAUGCAAAUUUUGUUGAGCUUGCUUUAGGUGCAUUUUCAGUGCAUAGUUUUUUGCCUAGCAUGGCAUCUCCGCAUAAUACUUUAUGAACAAGAUUCUACAAAAGAGUAAGGAUCACGCCUGACAACACGAUGGAUCUAAAAUCGCGAGGAGCCAUCACUAAUCAUUAAGGAAUCCAAGAAGAAGUUAGAUCCAGGAUGACAGCAUCGGAUCCAUGCCCACCCCGAAGAAAAGAAGAAAGGGUGCACCAUAUGAUCAAUCUUGUGAUGAAGAGAGAGCCCCAAAGCAGGUAAUUGAGGUCAAAGCAAAAUUGGAGGUUCAUCCCAUCUAAUGGGCUCUCACAUGCCACAAGCCAAAGUAAAGGGGUAAAAUUAUCCCAAUCAGUCUUAUACUUAUUGUAUGGAUAUUAAUUCAAUUUUAAACUUUUCAAUUUUGUUAAUUUAGUCCUAAGUGUUUGCACAAAAAUCUAAUAUUAUCCUUCCGGUCAAUUUUUACCUAUUAAUAUCUCAAUUUUGACAACCAAAAUUAGUCACUUAUUGCAUAGGAAAAAUUAGGAGUUGGUCCCGAUCUCUAAAUGAAAUAAUUGGCAUUGCAUAAUUUUUUCAUUCUCAUUGCUUUUAGUAGAUAAUAUGUCCGUAUGGAGUGUCAUCUUAGACAAGAUCACUAAUUUCCAUCAGCCAACUCGUCAUGUGACUGGUCCUAAUUUUUUCAUACGCAAAGUGUGAUUCAGGCUCGCGUUUUCAACUGCGCCCAAAACAUUGGGGCAACUGAAAUUGACAUGACAGAAGGAAAGACAUAAGCUUCGAGAAAAAAUCCCAUGGAAUCUAUGUGGACGUUCCCCCACAGAGGAAGAGGAUGGUAAGAAAAGAUGAGGGAAAUAGAGAGAGGCUGGUUCUUCUUUGUGACUACCAUUGCCUUGCCGUCGCGCAUCGCACACUGUCGCCACCCCCUUGCUGAGUUCCCGCCAUCCACUGCCCUGACGUCCGACUGCUAUUGCCAUUGACUCACCCACCUAGCUUCGUGGCCGACGAAGCCUCCUCCCACUUCGCCAUCAAUGCCCACCAAUUGCCCAACGCUCCCAGCUUCCCUGGGACGCGCAGUGCUGCUGCGGGCUCCUGCACUCAUCACUUGCUUAGCCGUAAUUAAUAACUGCUAAACCUGUCUCCUCACUCCUCACAAGCCCAGCAGCCUUGCCAUGCCUCAUCUCAAUCCUCGAGACUGUUGAGUAUAAAGGAACAAAAUAUGCUGUAGAAGAACGGAAACAGCACGUGUUGAAAAAACAGAAACAGAGGACUUGGCAAUACAGCAAAAGCAGAGGACUUGGCGAUACAGCAAAUGACUUGGAUCGCCAAGUCAUAAGAUUUAAUCAACGGCAAAGAUCUUAUAAGGAAGACCAGCCUAGAUCGACAUCAAUGAAUGAGAUGCUCAAAUAAUAAAUGACUUGGAUCACUAAGUCAUAAGCGUAGUCAAUUAGGCUUUUCUAUUAAGUAGUUGCUGUAUUCGGUUUUCCCUUGUAACCGAGUUUUGUUAAAUUCUUAGAUAUAAAUACUCUUCUUGCUUUACAUAAGAAGAUAUAGAAAAACAGAUAGAGGGGAAAAGAGAAGAGAAAAGCAUAGAGAAAAGAGAAUUUGGAUCAUCAACAAAUGCUGAGCAAUCUCUGUAUUGAAGAAGAAGAUUCGAAGAAUAGUUGACAGCUGAAGAUCAAAGUGCUGAAGCAAAUCAAGUAAGAUUGUUCUUAGAAGAUAGAACAGAGGAAUUGUAUUCUUUUCUGUUUCAAUUGUACAGAGUUACAAUGAUAUAAUCACCAUACUGGAAUACAAAUGUUCUUCAGAGUCGACCGCUUGAUCUUGUUUGAGUUCUUCAUCUUUCUCAUGGUAUCAGAGCAGUAGGUUGAUUGUCUGAUAGCUUGUUUUGAACUGGAAGUUUGUGGCAAUGGCAAUAAAAACACCAAAAUAUCCUUUUCCAAUCCACGUAAACAUUUAGAAUUUUGUCACAAUCAAGCUCGCCGAAGAUAAUUUUCUGUUGUGGCAAGCUCAAAUCCAAAGGUUUCUGAAGAGUCAAGACCUCUUUGGUUUUGUUAAUGGUGAUGUUAUUUCUCCUCCACGAAUGUUGCAAAAUGAUGAUGAAGGAUGUGACUCAGAACUUGUUAAUCCUGAUUACGCUGAUUGGACAAGAGCAGAUCAGUUGAUAUCAUCAUGGAUUAGUGGGGCUGUUACUGAGAACAUUUUGAGUCUAAUCAUUGGUUUAGAGACAUCCUUUGAGGUAUGGCAGUCUCUUCUAAAACGAUUUACACAAAAAUCAAUAGCAAAGGAGUUCGAACUUAGAGGAAAAUUACAGUCCUACCAAAAACUUGAUCAAACCCUCUCUACUUAUCUCAGAGAAUACAAAUCUAUAUGUGAUCAGUUGAAUGCUAUUGGUAAACUAGUGGAUGAAAUAACCAAAAUCUUUGGUAUACUGGAAGGAUUGGGUCCAGAAUAUGAGAAUCUUCGAACCACCAUAUAUUGUUUGAAGCCUCAACUCGAUUAUGAUGAAGUUAUAGCUCAACUGGAGAGAUUUGAAUCAAGGAUGAAGACUUAUUCCAGAAGUCAGUUCAAUCCCAGUUUGGCCUAUCUCGGGCAAAGAAAGUCUCAAAUGUACCCUAAAGAGAAUGCUAAUGGAGAAUACCUUUCACAAACUUCUGGUUUUCUAGCUCAGAGAGGAAGUUAUAGGGGUGGCCGUAGCUUUGGUCGAGGCAGAGCUAUUAGUAAUAGAGGACGAGGUUUUGGUUAUGUUGAAAAAAAAAUCAGAAUUACAGAGAAGAUGCAGCAAUUCAAGGGCAAGGAGAUCAAUAUCUAAGACAAAGGAAUGUCUUCUCUACAGCUACUCAGGGAUUUCGACCUUAUGCCACAUACUCUCAAAGGUAUCAAAACAACAAAUCUUAUCCCCCUCUUCUAUUAAACUCAAGGAAAAGUUUGCAGGAUGAGAAAGACACAGGGGUUGCUAGAUUGGAAUGUCAAAUAUGUAAACGACCUGGGCAUGAUGCUCUCCGCUGUUGGUAUCGCUUUGACAAUUCCUAUCAAGUAGAGGAUAUUCCAGCAGCUCUGACAGCAAUUCAUAUCGAAGAUCCAAAAGGAAGUGAAUGGUACCCUGAUACAGGAGCUACUGCUCACAUCAGUGCGAAUCCUGGUAUUCUUCAAACUCUUUCUAAAUAUCAAGGUCUCGAUACAGUGAUGGUUGGAAAUGGAUCUUGUUUACCUGUUACACAUAUUGGUAACACUUACCUAAAAACAGAAGUAAAUACAUUACCUCUUAAUGAUGUUCUUAUAGUACCAGAAAUAAAGAAGAAUCUUCUUUCUAUGUCUAAACUCACUGAUGACUAUCCUUGCACAUUUAUCUUUGAUAAACUUGGUGUUUAUGUAAAGGACAACAAUACCAAGGUGACAAUUCAGCUCGGAAGGAAGACUAAGGGCCUUUAUCAAGUCGAUACACGGACUGCAGCAGCCAUUUUCACUCAAAGACAGAGAACAGUCAAUGCAGAAAUAUGGCACCAAAGACUGGCUCAUGCCAAUACACAAAUAGUGGAUCACCUACAUCAUCAGAAACUGAUUCAUGUUAAUUCAGUUUCUUCAAAAAUCUGCAGCAGCUGUCAAAUAGCAAAAAGUACAGCUCUAUCAUUUCCUUUGUCAAACUCUAUAUCAACUUCGUCAUUAGAAAAGAUCCACUGUGAUAUUUGGGGGCCUUCACCAGUUGAUUCAUUUCAAAAGUUUAGAUACUAUGUGAUUUUUGUUGACAGUUUCUCACGAUAUAGUUGGUUAUAUCCAAUGAAGUUGAAAUCUGAGUUCUUUGAUAUCUUUGUUCGAUUCCAGACGUUAGUUGAAAGACAAUACAGUCACAAGAUCAAAAUUUUCCAAAGUGAUGGAGGAGGAGAGUUUGUAAGUAGGAGAUUUCAAAAACAUCUGCAAAGCUGUGGAAUAAAACAACAUCUAUCUUGUCCUCACACUCCCGAACAGAAUGGAGUCUUAGAAAGGAAACAUAGAAAUAUUGUUGAAUUAGGAUUGGCUAUGAUAUAUCACUCCAAGGUCCCACUGAAGUUUUGGGUGGAUGCUUUUGUUACAGCAAAUUACAUUGUAAACAGACUUCCAACACCAAAACUAAAAAUGGAUACACCCUAUAGUAAGAUUCAUAACACUCAACCACAAUAUGAUCAUUUGAGGGUGUUUGGUUGUGCCUGUUAUCCAUGCUUAAGAUCAUAUUCAAAACAUAAGUUCGAUCCUAGAUCCCUUACCUGUGUUUUUCUGGGAUAUAGUGAUUUGCAUAAAGGCUAUAGAUGUCUUGUGCCUACUGAUAAUCGUAUAUAUAUCAGUAGACAUGUGAUCUUCGAUGAAACAUUGUUUCCCUUCACAAAAACUGUGAUCAAUGAGUAUGGUCAAUAUACUCCUUUGUAUAGACAGUGGAUUGAAGGAGUAAAAUUGCUCGAAUCCUCAAGCACUGACACAACAAGCAAAAGUAUUUCCCAUCAGUCAGUAAGAAGAAGUCAGUAUCAUCCUAAUAUGGAUAGUUAUGACAGUGAACAGAUGCACCAACAUACUUCAUCAGCAUCAAUGCAGCUUCAAGAUACUCCAUUAACACCAAGGCAGAAUGAUGCUAUCACAGAAACUCGAUCUGGUCAGAGUUCUUCAUCUUUCUCAAGUACUCUGCCUAUCAAUAACAGUCCUGACAUAGAACAACAUACUCUUGAUCUAUCUUCUUCUCAGAGAAAUUUUGGUAAUCAUCCUAUGCAGACCCGACUCAAAUCAGGUAUUAUUAAGCCAAAUCCAAAAUAUGCUUGCUUGGCUGAGUAUCGAGUUCCUAUGGAACCAAGAUCCAUCAAGUCAGCAUUAGCUGAUAAGGGUUGGCACAAUGCAAUGCAAGAAGAGAUGAAUGCUCUGUUUGAUAAUCAUACCUGGACAUUGGUUCCAAGAACAGACCAGAUGAAUGUUGUAGGCUGUAAGUGGGUCUUUAAGACCAAGCUCGCACCAGAUGGUAGUCUAGAAAGACUCAAGGCUCGUUUGGUAGCCAAAAGAUUCCAUCAGGAAGCAGGACUUGACUUUACUGAGACAUUCAGUCCUGUUGUGAAACAUGCUACAGUUCGCAUAGUACUCUCUGUAGCUCUCACAAGACAAUGGACAAUACAUCAACUUGAUGUGAAGAAUGCCUUUCUUCAUGGAGACUUAAAUGAAACUGUUUAUAUGGAACAGCCACCUGGCUUCAUUCAUCCUCAAAAAUCAAGCCAUGUCUGCCUUCUUCACAAGUCGUUAUAUGGACUUCGACAAGCACCAAGAGCUUGGUUUGACAAAUUCAGCAACUUCCUUCUUGAAAUUGGUUUUUUCUGUAGUACAGCCGAUCCAUCUUUGUUUGUGCUCCAUACUGAGUCGGAUACAGUGUUAUUGCUUCUUUAUGUUGAUGAUAUCAUUCUAACAGGAAGCUCUCCUCAACUCUUAACUGCAUUAAUCCAGAAUCUUAGUCUUCAUUUUCAUAUGAAAGACCUUGGAUAUUUUCACUACUUCUUAGGUAUUGAAGUUAAACGUACUUUACAGACCUUGUUCUUAUGUCAAACAAAAUAUGCAGUCGACCUACUCAAACGGGCACAUAUGACAGAUUGCAAACCAAUUUCUACACCUUUGCCACUACGGUCAAUUGCUAUGGCCAAUGCUGAAGUUCCUCUGCUAGAUCCUAUUGAAUACAGAAGCUUGGUAGGUGGUCUUCAAUACUUGACUAUCACUCGACCAGAUCUAGCAUUUGCAACAAAUCUCCUCUGUCAGAAGAUGCAACAUCCCACAAUGGCAGAUUUUCAUCAAUUAAAAAGAGUUUUACGAUAUGUCAAAGGAACUGUUCAUCUUGGAUAUUAUCUUCAUUCCAACAGUUUGACAAAUCUCUAUGGUUUUUCAGAUGCUGAUUGGGCAAGUUGUCCUACUACUCGACGAUCUACUAUAGGAUUCUGCACUUUCUUAGGUUCUAAUUUGAUUUCCUGGUCAACCAAGAAGCAAUCUACUAUUUCAAAGUCUUCCACAGAAGCAGAGUAUCGGGCUCUAGCAUCUACAACAGCUGAAUUAACCUGGAUCAGUUUUGUUCUACGUGAUAUUGGUAUUCCUCUUGCACAAGCUACAUCAUUGUUUUGUGACAAUAAAUCAGCUAUUUCCCUCACAGCCAAUCCUGUUUUGCAUGCGCGAACAAAGCACAUAGAAGUUAAUUUCCAUUUUGUUCGUGAAAAGGUGUCUUCUGGUUCCAUUUCUAUCCAACAUGUUCCAAGUCAUCUUCAAGUAGCUGACAUAUUCACUAAGUCACUCUCCCACUCAGCUCAUCUGUCUCUUCGCACCAAAUUGGGAAUGGGAUUCCUCCCCCUUCCCAAUUUGCGGGCGGAUGUUAAGUAUAAAGGAACAAAAUAUGCUGUAGAAGAACGGAAACAGCACGUGUUGGAAAAACGGAAACAGAGGACUUGGCAAUACAGCAAAAGCAGAGGACUUGGCGAUAAAGCAAAUGACUUGGAUCGCCAAGUCAUAAGAUUUAAUCAACGGCAAAGAUCUUAUAAGGAAGACCAGCCUGGAUCGACAUCAAUGAAUGAGAUGCUCAAAUAAUAAAUGACUUGGAUCACUAAGUCAUAAGCGUAGUCAAUUAGGCUUUUCUGUUAAGUAGUUGUUGUAUUCGGUUUUCCCUUGUAACCGAGUUCUGUUAAAUUCUUAGAUAUAAAUACUGUUCUUGCUUUACAUAAGAAGAUAUAGAAAAACAGAUAGAGGGGAAAAGAGAAGAGAAAAGCAUAGAGAAAAGAGAAUUUGGAUCAUCAACAAAUGCUGAGCAAUCUCUGUAUUGAAGAAGAAGAUUCGAAGAAUAGUUGACAGCUGAAGAUCAAAGUGCUGAAGCAAAUCAAGUAAGAUUGUUCUUGAUAAUGCUAGUACGAGUACCUAGAGGGGGGUGAAUAGGUUUAUGAAAAUUUUCUUGAAGAUUGCACAAUACUUAGACAGAUGAAGUAUUAAAAAAUCAAUCGUAAGACUGAGUAAAGGAAAGAGAGAAUUAAACACGAGGUUUAUAGUGGUUCGGCUUGAUUCAGCCUACGUCCACUUCUCUGCACUGACAGCCGAUUGGCUGGNNNNNNNNNNNNNNNNNNNNNNNNNNNNNNNNNNNNNNNNNNNNNNNNNNNNNNNNNNNNNNNNNNNNNNNNNNNNNNNNNNNNNNNNNNNNNNNNNNNNNNNNNNNNNNNNNNNNNNNNNNNNNNNNNNNNNNNNNNNNNNNNNNNNNNNNNNNNNNNNNNNNNNNNNNNNNNNNNNNNNNNNNNNNNNNNNNNNNNNNNNNNNNNNNNNNNNNNNNNNNNNNNNNNNNNNNNNNNNNNNNNNNNNNNNNNNNNNNNNNNNNNNNNNNNNNNNNNNNNNNNNNNNNNNNNNNNNNNNNNNNNNNNNNNNNNNNNNNNNNNNNNNNNNNNNNNNNNNNNNNNNNNNNNNNNNNNNNNNNNNNNNNNNNNNNNNNNNNNNNNNNNNCCAAGAAUGUUUCGUCGACCAUCGGAUCUUUAAUUGUUCUUAGAUAAGAAUCAAAAAAUCCGAAGUGAUUAUCCAACCAAGGGAUCUUUUCCAGAGGAUUGGAUCGAAUCCCCAACCAUAUACUUCGGCUUCGGAUAUCCUUCGCCACUGGAUUAGAAAGACUAUCAGUGAGAAUAAUCUUGAGUCUUGAGUCUUGAGUCUUGAGUCUUGAGACUUGAGAUUACAAAGUCUUGAGACUUUAAACUAUCGAUAUUCAGACUAGACUGAUAGAAAUGUUUUGUCAGCUUCAAAAUAUUCUGGAAAGAUUUCUCCAACAGUUCUUAGAAGAUAGAACAGAGGAAUUGUAUUCUUUUCUGUUUCAAUUGUACAGAGUUACAAUGAUAUAAUCACCAUACUGGAAUACAAAUGUUCUUCAGAGUCGACCGCUUGAUCUUGUUUGAGUUCUUCAUCUUUCUCAGAGACUACGAACCUUUGUCGACAAUCCACAUCCUUGCCCGACAUAUACCAGCCCAUUCCAAGCCGGAUCUCAGCCCACGGCGUCACGUGUGGUGGUAGUCCAAGAGCGCAGAGGCGCUCUCUCAACACUUCCAACAAGUCCGGUAGCUUUUGUUUUCCUAUUGCAGAUUUCCGUGGUGCUUUACUGAUUCACUCCCGCAAACGCCAGCAUCCUCGGUGUCCUUUACGGCCUGAGCAACGCUAGGUCGAUCACCACCGGAUCAGAUUUUCCUUCGGCUCAGUCUGUGGUCCUGUCAAGUUGUUGGCUUGCGCUGCUCCAUCCGAAGCAAUCCAUUUCACUGGUCUCUUGCUCGAUCAUCACCAUUGGUCCUUGCUUCAUUUGUGUUUUCCCUCAUUGGCUACAGUUGGUUUCGUGUAAGGUGAGUUCAUUUUUGUCAUGUUUAUAUGAUGAUCAUUAUAUCAAACAAUGCAUGUUAGUAACUACACUUUAGGUUAUGCUAAUUAUACUUUUUCUUUUUACAUUAGUCAAGGCAUACUAAGGCGUCAGACCUUUAAGGCCAACGGUUUAAGCCCAAUGGUCGGUUCCCUAAUAUCGUCUCAUGCACCAUCCACGAUUUUAAUGUGUGUUUUUAUAUAUGUGAUUGAUUGAAUAAGCUUUGCAGGAAAUAUCUACUAGGGCAAGGCUAUCAUAGAAGAUGGAUCUUUUCCCUUAUUUAGGGCUGUAUUUUCUUGGAGCAGUCUUCGUACCAACCUUUGUUGUACCGAAAUAUUGUCUUUGUAUUUUUAUGAUAAACUUGGGUAAGACGUAUAUUUUGGUACCUCAUGAGAUUUAAUAUUCAUCAUGUAAAUAUGACACGUCACAUGUCACAUACAUCUUUAGAAUUAAGGCACUUUCAUAAUUCACAUUUUAGAGAUUUCAUAGUUAGAGUAUUGCAUGUUAGUUUUGGAAUGCAUGUGGAUUUAGGGUAAUCUAUAGUUUUCAUUAAACAAAAACCAGACAAAAAUUGUUUUUAGAAUCAUAUAGAUUGCAUGUAUAUUUAAAGUUAAUUAGUCUCAUAUCAUUCAUACCAUAUAAUGCACAUCACUUAAAAUUAAUCUUUUGAUAAUCAUAUCAUAUAGAUAGUCUUAGUUGUUAAUUGCAUUGCAUACAUUAUCCGCAUUGCAUAUUUUCAUAUAGCAUGAAAAAUGCAUAUAAAGAAAAAGUUAGCUUUGCCUCGUUUAGUUGUUAGUUAUAUAGCAUUUGUAUGUUAGUUCACGUGUAGAGUCUAAGGUCCUAAACCUUUAAUUUCAAUAAAAGUAGAAUAAAAAUAAUAUUGCAUAUAGAUUGCAUUAUAAAAUUAGUUUAUGGUUAAUUUUAAUUGACUUAGGAUUGCAUACAUACAUUCAAAAUAUGCCUUCUUGCACAUAGGUUUUAGAUUGUAUCUUCAUGUAGUAACUAUUGGAAAAAAAUCCCAAAGUGUUUUUUGAAGAUUUUCAAAACUAUCAUUAGUAUAAUUUACUAUGACAUACUGAUUUUCAGGUUCUGAUUUCGAUUAGAUAAGUUGGACCUUUUAUCGACGCGCCUAUGGUGCUCUUCUUUGAGUUGGCCACUCACGAGAUAACUAGCCUACUGGGUGAAGCCGUUAAAGGAUUUUAAUACAAUAGACUGGAGAAUUCAAUCAGGAAUCGAUCACUCGACCAUGUUAGUCUACAAUGGUCAUUACGGCAUAAUAAAAAAAUCGAUCAAAGAUCGAAAAUAGGUCGAUUCAACUGAGAUGUGUGAUCAAAGUGUGGGUGACUCCACCUGAUUACAAAAUUCUCAUUGAUCGAUACUAGACCGAUUUUCUAUCGUUUUCGGCACCCUAUGUCCGUAUUUGAAACCUCGAGAUUUUCACAAUCACCAAGAGUCUCCAAUGUGUCGAAGAGGUAUGUUGUGACUCAAAGAAAAUCAACCAUGGGUCAAUUGCAUAAAAAUCAUAAAAGGNNNNNNNNNNNNNNNNNNNNNNNNNNNNNNNNNNNNNNNNNNNNNNNNNNNNNNNNNNNNNNNNNNNNNNNNNNNNNNNNNNNNNNNNNNNNNNNNNNNNCCGACCUUCCUCCUUCACCAAAUUCAGUGGACCCAGCUCAUCCACGCAAUUCUCUCUCUCUCUCUCUCUCUUCAAUUGUCUCUUUCGUUCAAUUCUUCCUCGCCAGCUGCCCCACAAUAUUUCUCUCUCUUUUGUCCCAUUUCCAUGGCAGCAAUUCACCGAAGCUGCCACCAGCUUGUCUAUUCCUUUGCAGUCCCCUUUCUAUUCCUUUUCGGUUUUAUUGAAAACGGCAGCAGCCCAUCAACGCCCCCACCAAAGCUGUCCCCACGUCCGUCUUUCCUCUUCGUUUCAUGCUUGUUAGUCAACUAGUCGAACUUCAUCAGCCCGUGACCGUGAUCCACUCAUCGAAAGGCCCAGCACCCGUCGAGCUCUCUCUUCCGCCCAAGACUUUCACGGCCAGUCCAUUUACAGCCCCGUUCCAGCAAGUCCAGCAGCCACAACUCGGCCCAGUUCAUGCCGUUUCAGUCACAGCCUGCACCACCAACCGCGGCUGCCGAACCUAGCCUGAGCUGUGCCCGAACCAGCCAUCGUUGCAGCUCCUUGGGCCCAAAGCUGAAGCCAAAACCAGCAAGGGUUUUGGGCUUUGCGAGGCCAUUUUCAGACCCGUCUCGGCCUCACUUGGUGGUCCCGCUUCGAAGUUUAUUGAGCCCCUCCAUGUCCCCAUCGUUUUGGUCCGAGCGGAUCGUCAAUUAAGUGGGUUUAACUCACUAAUCAUCGCUUAGUAAGUUAAUGACAUUUAAGGAUUGAUUAGUUUAGGUUAAGCAUGGAUUAGGUGGUUAUUUGAUUAGAUUAGUGAUUUAAUUAGCUGAGAUUGCAUGUUAGGUGAUUAGAGUAGUGUAAUUAGAGCCUAGACAAACUCUAGUAUUUAACUAGAGUGGUUCGGUAAUUUUCCGAGCCCAUCUCGGCUUCCAAUUAGGCUUUACGGGCCUAAGUAUGCAUUUUUGCUAUUUAUUGGCAUUUAUUUAUUAUUUUUCGUUAUUAUUUAAUUAUUUAUUUAUUUUUCGGAAAUUAGACCGAGAUAGCCAGUGACAGGAAUUUUAUGCUGAUUGCAAUAGUGUGGUAUGUUUAUUUAAUUGAGCUCUAAUUCAUGUUGAUUUUGUGUGAUUUGUAUUUUGGGAAAUUAUUCCAAAAAUAAUUAAUUUUGGUAAUUAAUUAGAAAAUCACCAGGCGUCGGUUUACAAUGCCAAAAAUGAGUUUAAGGAUUAGUGAAAUUAGUGGGAUUUUCAAGUGUGAAAAUAUUAUAUUUUGGCUAAGGUCAACCGUGUACCCACAUACAAGUAUUUUUUUAUUGGGAAUGAUAAAAAUGAUGAUCUGAUCAUGCGAUCAUAAUCAAUAAUUGUGGCAGCUUUUGAUGAGCUAUAGUAUACUAUAUUGAUAAUUGUGACAGCUUCUGAUGAGUUAUAGUAUACUAUAUUGAUAAUUGUGGUAGCUUCUGGUGAGCAUAAAUAAUAUACUAUAUUGAUAUUUGCGGCAACUUCUGGUGAGCAUAAAUAGUAUACUAUAUUGAUAUUUGCGGCAACUUCUAGUGAGCAUAAAUAAUAUACUAUAAAGUAUUUGAGGCAACUUCCGGUGAGCUAUACUAUCUAUUAUUGGCUUAAAGUAAAUAGUUACAGAUUAUGAUCAGACUUUAUAGAUAGUAUUAAUUGAGAUGGCCGAUGAAUGAUCUUGAUGUCAUGUAAUCAACUGAGUCGAUUAAUCGAUGAUUCGAUAUGGCUGGAUAAAUUUAUUGUGAAGUGAUUGGUUGUGAUAUGAAUUGUACUGAUUUGCAAAAAGGAACUAAGGCUAAGGUAAGUCCUCUGACUCGUGAUUGUGCUUAGAUAGCCCUUUGGGCGUAUUUUCUUCCUAGUCAAGUUUUAGGGAGUUGAACUUACUGAGACGUAGUCUCAUCCCAUUGUGGGAUAUCAUUUUCAGGUCCCUAGUUGACAGUAGUGGAGGACCCAAGGCCCAAAGUUUAGAAGGUGAAACCUAAAAAAUCGGCGAUCUUGUCUAACUAGUUAGUCAUAGGACAAUUCUUUUUUGGUUGAUAGCCGAUCCCUUUUUGUAGGCUUCUAUAUAUAAAUCCGUGUGUUUAUAAAAAUAUAUUUUGUGAAAAAUUGGCCCUACCUUUCUAUCACAUCUUGCUGUUGUCUGGGGAUUUACUAAUUGCUUCCACAUGCGCAUUAAAAUGAAUGGGUCGGCGAUGCGUUCUGAGACGUCAUUAUUAAUCGACUAAGAAGGGAUGGGCACGGGCUCGAAGAUUCGGGACGUGACAUUUACUACGGUAUUUGCAAAACUAUCAUGGAUUACGUGAUAACCACAGUCUGAUUCAUUGGGUGAAGAUCAGUCAUAUAGGUUUUUUCAGUAAACAACACCAAUGGAUCUAAAGAUCAGCAUAUGUCAAUAUUUGCAUAGAUUCUAUUGAUAUCAGGUCAAUAGUGAUGUUUCAACAACAAAGUGUUUGUGGGCUCAUAAAUAUAGCCUACAUAGCAGAGGAAACCAAAAGUCCACAGAGAAUCAGAGAAAAGGCCAUCUGCCAGCCUUGUCAGAAGCUAUAGUGAUAGGACAACGGCAAAAGCUAUUCUUAGGUAAUCAGCAAAUGUUUAAGAAAAAUGGUUGUAUGGAUAGCACUGUCUUUAGACAGCAACACCAGUAGUAAACUCUUAACAGCUUCUUACUACUCCAAAGCAUCUUCAAAGGAAAGAUUGAAUAUAGAUUAAAAGAUAAUAUCUUUGAAUCCACAGGUUAGAGAUGCAAUAUACAAAAGAACAAAAACUGCUUGAAUCUGUGUUCUUAGCAAAAAUAUUUUAUUCAUGUAUUACUUUGAGUGUUGUAAUCUUGUUAUCUUGUCAUCAUGUAAAAGAUCAAGUGUAUCAAUAGAUAGCACUACCUAAAUUCCUAAUAUUGUGAUUUAUCAUCUGAAGGGAUUGGUGUGUGUGCUGUGUAUAACUUAUUGAGCCAAUUAUCACUGCCAUUUAGCCCAACUUGUGGCUAUUAAUUAGGAGGGUGGACAUAGGUUUGAAGAUAACGCCAAACCACUAUAUAUUAUUGUGUGCUGCUAUUUUCCUCUCUCUUUAAUUACAUAAGAACACAGUUUGUUCACAAGUUUUCAAAUUUUAGCUCAAAUUUAUCUUUACUUAGCGUCUACUAAUUUUUGUGAAAAGUUGACAAAGUUUUCAAAGCAAUCUUUUUAUCUCUAGGUUGUAUCGUUAGCUCCUACAAUAACUUGGGUCAUACAUGUUAAUUUAGUUAGUGCAUGAUUAGGAAUCAAUACAUAUUCUUUUAUUUUGUAGACUUUUAGGGUUGUUUGCCUUUUGUUAAUUAAUAAAAGGGAAAAAAAAACAAAAACUGAAUUAGAUUAUACCAUGUAGAUUGUAUUAGUUAGGAAUAUCAAUUUUUUAAACUUCAUAUUGCACUAUUUUUAGAGAGUCACUUGUCAUCUAGGAUUAAAUUUCAUUGACAUUUUAUUUAUAUUUUUUAAUUAAUUUCAUAACGUGUAACCUAGAACUCAUCAUGUAUGUCAUGUGAUCACAUCAUUCAUGCCAUCUAGCCUUUUAAUUAGUGCAGUUUAAUUAGUCAUUUUCACACUUUCUUAAAUUAUGCAUGUUAGUUAAAAGAGAAAAAAAUAUAAACAAAUUUAGAAUAGAUUGAAUGUUUGUUAGUCACUAACUCAUGCACAAUCAUGAAUACCAUUCAUGCAGAAUGUUUGCAUAUUUUCCUAAUUAUAGUUUGCAAAACCUCAUGGUGAUGAAUAGUGAUUUAUAUUUCUCUGUUUAGUGCAUCCACAUUUUUAAAUCUUCUGCAAUCCAUUUACUGCUUUGAUUAAUGGGUGUUACUUUAUUAAUUGCACACCAGCACGAUCAUCCCUCACAUGUUAGUGGGCAUAAGAUAAAAAUUGAUAAAGAUUGCAUGUGAGACAUCUUCGAAAUAAAGAGAAAAUGUACUAAAAUGGCCCUAAAUUAAUCUAGCGUAAUCAGAUCCCCAAAUCCAUUAAUCUUUGGUUUGUCAAAGUAAAAUAUACUCCAACAUUUUGCUUAAAUGUCUAAUCCGCCUAUAAUCGAUUAGUGACUAUCAUGACCCAUCCCUCCAAAGCUAUUACGAUCCCAAGGGAUAGGUUUAGAAGCAUUUGUUUAUAAAGUCAAUUCAAAUGGUUUGUACAAAUGGAAAUCUCAAAUGAAACACCAAACAACCCCUCAAACGGAUGUAAAAUCCGAAUUUUACAUAUGAACGACAACUUCAGAUGAGUUCUCCAAUUAACACAAACUGUGACAUCCCGAAUUUUCAAUAUUGUUUUCAAUUAAAUUAAAUCGGGUCUUUCAUCGACGCACUAUAGUGCUACUCUCAGAGCUGAUCACUGGUGAGAUAACUAGACUAUCUGGGGAAGUCAUUAAGGAGAUUUAACGUAAUAGACUUGAGAAUUUGACCAGGAAUCGGCUACUUGACCGUGCUCAUCUGCUGAGAUCAUUACGACACAAAUAUAAGUCAACUAGAAAUUAGAGAUAGAUUGGUUUGACCAAGAUAUGUAGCUAAACGUAGGUGAUUCCACUAAAUUACAAAAUUCUCGUCAACUGACACUAGACUGAUUUUUCUGUCGUUUUGGUAUCUCCAUAUUUGAAUCUUCGAGAUUUUCAUGACAAACAAGUCCCUAAAAAAACAAUUAUAAAGUUUUAGCCAUUUGACAAGUAAGGAUAACAAUUUUAUAGGAAUGAAGCAAGUUCGAUGUCCUUGGGAAAUGGAUUCCAGAACCCGGGCAAGGAUAAUGUCAACACACUAAUUGGGCUCCUUGGACCAUUAAACGAGCGUCAAAUCUAACAAAAUUAGUAUCAAAAUAAAGUUUAGGGUAUACCAAACAACUUUGUUGAAGAAAAUUUCUCAAGAUUGGCAUCACAUGAAUUUAUAAUAAUUUCAGAACAAGCAAAAGUCAAGCCAGGAAAAUGGAUUUCGCAGAAGCCCUGCAACUUUAGAGAGGUUGGUAAAAAUACCAAAACAAGUUUUUAUUUUCUGAAAAUUUAUGAGAAUGAAGUUUAAUAUUUUCUUAACAAAUCUCAUGAAGACAUCCACAAUGGAUUCAGCAUACACAAAUUUCUAAAAAUCAGAGAAUUCAUGUAUAUCAUUCUAGAAAUAGAGCAUCACAGAAGCAUAUGUCUAUAGUUCACAGCCAUUUGCGUCAUCUAAAAAUGAUCCAUUCGAUCUGAAAUUUCUACAAAACAUACAUAUACAAUGUCCUAUCACUUUUAUGAAGACAUCUAAGGCAAAUUCAUUUUACAUGAAUUUAUAAAAAAAUCACAAUAUCUGCACAGAUCAUUCAGGAGAGACAAAUCACAAUAGCAAUUGCAACGGGAAACACGAUCAGUCUAUGACCCAUCGACCAUACCAAAUGAUACUAAAAUACUUUCAAAUUUUUAUAUGUUGUGAAUAAACUUCAAGAAGACACUGAUUUAAAAUUUGAUCCACAAAAAAAUUGUAUGACAAUGACAAACAACAAAGGUCACCGGAACCGGACACGAAAACAGAACAGGAAAAUUUUCCAGAUUGCUGUUCGGUUUAGUAAAAAAGUUAGACCUAGUAAAUGAUCUUCAAAUCAUACAAACAAUGUAUCAAAAGAAAGCUAAUGAUAUCUCAUACGAAUCCUUAGAAGACCUCAAAUGCAAUCGGAAUCAUUUUCCAGCUCAAAUGAAGAUAGCUAGCAAAUAGGUCAAGUCUGAAACAGAGUUUAAAGAUUUAUGCCUAAAAAACAUGAGUUUAAUUUGACUAAACGAUUCGGAAAUUCUAUGAAAUUUUUACGUGAUUAGAACUAGAUGUAAUUACCAAUCUAGGUCCAAAAUCAUUAUACAAAAAAAUCAUACAAAAACAACAAAUCGAGUAGGUGGGUUAACCUCAACACAUAUUCCAGAACAGAUUGCCCUACUCACGAACAAGUUUUAACAUAGCAAACGAGGUCUGACUUAUGCAUUUAAUACGUCUAUGAAAAGCUCUUGAAACCAGCUUUGAAUCUCAUGAGGAUCUCAAAACCUAUAAACAACAUUAUCAAGCUCAAAUGAAGACGUUUAUUAGAUCAGUCCAAUCAGGCCAUCUGAAUUACAAAAUAGACAAUCAAUCAAGCAGAUCAUCAAUACAAACCAUUCUAAGCUAUCAUCCAUCAUCUAUAGCCAUUCUAAGCUACAAUGAUCAUCAAUACAAUCGUAGAACAUCAUCUUAGGGUCUAGCUUUAGCACCGAUUGCAUAAGGCAAUCUCACUUCAUGCAGCUCAAGAUCGAGAAGUUUACUUUAGUCAAUCUCUAUGCGAAGCACAAUCGAGCUAAGGUCACUGUAAACGGGGCUUAGGACAUGCCGAGGGAGGUCCAACACCAGCUAAGGACACCAGAAUAGCUUCGGAAUAGUCGUUGAAGUUGUUGGAUUACAAAAAAUCGGCGCCAAGCUGAACUGAUCGAGAGAAUUGACCUUGUACAGGGCAAUCUAGCAUCAAACAAGACUUAUAACGACACAAGAUCAACCUCACGGAUGGCGACGGAAUGUCAGUAAGGCUGGAAUUCAUCGAAAAAUCAUCACAAAUCGUCGAAACGAGCGGUUGAAACCAUCAGUCUCAACACUAGCGAUGAACACGAUGAUUGGCGUCCAAAGAAAACUAGGCAAGCGGUCUUGAGGCCGGAUGGCUGUUGUGACCGAUGAUAGGGGUGGCUAAUUGAUAUAGCUAGUAAUAGCACCCAGAGGGGGGUGAAUAGGUGUUUAAAUAAUUUCUCGAGAUAUGAAAGCAAUACUGGACUAACAACAGAAAGGAAGCUCUCCUUUAGUUAACAAAUCGAACUAUGAUCAAAGUAAAGCGGAGAGUAAGGAAGAGAAGAUUGAACACAAGGUUUAUAGUGGUUCAGCUUAUUCCAAGCCUACGUCCACUCUUCUGCACUGACAACCUACUGGCUAGAUUUCACUAUGAACAAAAGAGAUAUUACAGCAUUGCUUUCCCUUGAUUCCACAGUGUAAAUAUUCUAUCACACUUCCUCAAGGUCUCUCAAAGUAUAGACUCUCUUUUGUGUACAAGAUUUCGCUCAGCAAAUGAAUUGACUAAGAAUCAAAGAGCUUCAGACUUUGGAAUUCUUCUAUCGUGCACACCUCGAACAACUGGAACGUCUUCUUUUUAUACUCCUUUGUGCCAUCAUACCCGUUGGCACUUACCAAAUGAAUUAUUCCAAUCCUCCCGUUGGACAGAAUCAAUUAGGAAGAUUAUUCGAGCUAUUAAAGGAACAUGUCGAUAGCCCAUCAAUCUUGCUCGCCCAUACAAUCAGGAUCUUGGUUUCCAUAAGUAGAACCUUCUAGGAAUACUUCAUCAAUCAUCGGAUCUUUAAUCAUUCUUGAUUUGAAUAAAGGAAUCCGUUAUGUCUUAUCUAGCCAAGAGAUCUUCUCCAGUCAAUAAGACCAAAUCCUUAGAGAAGCACUCAGUUCUGGAUAGCAUUUCUUCAACGGAUUAGAAACUAUCAAUCAAAAUAGAUUUUGAGUCUUAAGUCUGGCAGUCCGGAGAUCUUCAGACUUUAAUAGCAGAGUCUGCAAAUCUUCAGACCAGACUGAUAGAAACGUUUUGUCAGCUUCAAAAUAUUCCAGAAAGAUUUCUCCAACACUAAUGAUGAUCAAUGCACUGGUGGACUCACUAGAAGUGGCUCCAACAAGCGGUGGUGAGGGGGUGGUGAAGUGGCGUGGCCGAGCAAGAGAAAGGGGGGAGAGAAUGGAUUUAAAAUUCAAACCCUUGAGAGAGAGAAUGGAUCUAAAAUACAAGCCCCCCUUGCAUUUUGGAGGGAAAAUGGCUUAUAUACCUCCUUGCAAGAUCAAAUCUUAGCCCUUGGAUCAAUCCAAUGGCUAGGAUUCAAUCUUCCUAGCUUAAAUAACUUACUGAGGCACUAAGCUUGCUUAUGACUAAAUGAUAAUGUGUACAUGUCAAUUGGAAGGGCUAUGAUGAACUUUUAAAGAAUGAUCAUGAUUAAUUUUGUGAUUAAAGGGCAAUCGGGGACAUUUUUAUAAUUUCACAUAUCUGAGGGCAAUUUUGUAAUUUCAUUAUGGUGAAUUUGUAAUUUUGUGCAAAAGGGACAUGGGAGAGUCGGCCAUGGCCUUAGCUUGUCAAUGAUGGUUGCUGGCCACCGCAGAUCUAUCAAAAAAUGGCCAAACCGGCCAUUUCUACUAGUGAACAAUCGAAUCGGUCAUAUCAGUCUGAAUCGGUUUUGACUGGUUUGAUCGAUUUUGGCUAGUUUUUGCAAAAUUUUAUGCAAUUUAAGGAAUUCCUAUCCAGUUUGAAAUGAAAAUAAGCUAAUUUGAAGAGGAACGGUCCAAAAUCACCAAUAUUAAACCAACUAAAAUUUUCAAAAACAUUUCAAUUAAUUUUAAUUGGUUUAAUUAAUCCAAGAAUAUUGAAAAUUACACUUAAACUUAAUGCCGUGAAUUUGGAAUUUCUAUGCGAUUAGCGCAAUUUGUGCAACUCCCACCUUUAAAAACUAGAUUGACCAAAAUUGAACCUAAUUCAUAGAAUAAGAUCUCAAUUGGUUUAAUUACUCAUGUUAAUAAUGACUUAAUGCAUCCAAAUUGAUACUAAAAUGGUGGUAUGAACUUUAUGACAAAAUUAGAGCAAGGGCCAAUGAUGAAAUUGAAUGUUAACCCAUCAAAUUAAACCUUGGUCUAGAAUGGCCAAAGAUGACUUUUUGGUUGUUUUGUUAAAAACGAGUAGGAAAUUACCUACAAUUGACAGGCCAAAGAAAACAGAAUGAAAAAUGACACUUUUGCUUUGAGCAAUAGGUUCCGUCAUGAUCAGAUACCUUAAUCUUGAGUUUUUACUUUUAACUAUAUGUUGACUAAAAAUCAAGUGUCAACAGUGAUGACUCUAAAAUGUAAGAUAAGUUACAAUAUUAAAAUGAGUAUCCAAUUGUGAUUGGUAGUGCUUAGAAGAGCAUGUGUGGAGCAUUAUGCUUAGUAAUGGAUUAGUUUUCUAUUGGAAGUUCACCUUCGGGAAAGUCACAACAUCACCUUAAAUUGUUGACGUGGCAAUUCAAUAUUGCUAGUUGUCCUAUUGAUUUCCAAUGAAAAUUUAUUGAAAAGACUACAUUGAAAUUUUAUGCAAAUCUUUAUGACUAAAAUGGUAAAAUUAAGAAUUUUAGAACUGGGCUGACGAUCAUAUAAUAGGUUUAGAACUCCAAUUAAAGAACGUGGUCCUCUUGGGUUAGUGAGGUAUGAAGAAUGUAUUCCUUCCUCCUUUAUAACCCAAUUUAUACUUUCUCAUGAUCUAAAUAUCUGAAAUUGAUCAGUUUAUCUUCCACAUUCUGCGAACACCAACAGAAGCGAAUGGGUAUAGGUUUAAAAUAAUUACAAGUAAGCAGUCUCUCUGAGUUUGAUUGAAAUGAGCUUGCUUUGUAGUUAAUCUGCCAAGGAUCCAAGUUUCACCAUGUGACUCUAAGUUAAACCCAAAUUCAGAGCUCCUUCAAGAUUCCAGAGCCAGAAUCCAAAGUCAUCACCACUUUCUUCAACUGCUCUUUCAAGAAGUUGGAAAUGGAAUGCAUCAUAACAAUGUAAAUAUCAUAUUAGGAAACAUGGGAGUUAUCAUUUCUGUCUAAUGAGUAUCAGAUCAUUAUAUGGGGAAUGAAUCCAAUAAAAAUCUAAGCAAGCAUCAAAGUCAAAGCAAAUACAAUUACCCUCAUAAAAGUAGAUACGACCAAGCAUAGGGUUAAGAAUAAUCCGAAAAGUAGAUUGAAGGAAUUUCUGUAUAUUUCGAUAAUAUCAUAAUGAAGAACACAUCAAUCAUUUAUAGACUUUAUUAGAUAAUUAUAUAAGAUAAAAUAUUAAUCAAAAUAUACAUAAUCAAAUGGAGAAAUACUCGAAAUCUUGAGAAAUAUGAAUAAUCAAUAGAAACAUCUUAAUCAUUUUCAAUAUAAGAAAAUAUCAUAAUUAUAUCUAACAUCCUUUCAAACUCAAAUGUGCAUAGAAGUCAGCUUGAGUCUGGAUUAAAGAAAAAAAUUCCGAAAAAUGCUUAGUCGAUUGCCGGAACGGUUGCCGUUAACACGGCUGCUUACACGGCUAUUAUGGAUUGUCGUGGCUGUUGUGCAAGCUACACGGUCAGAGAUUGUCGUUGCAACAGAAGGCUACUGUCGAGGCACGAGGCGGCUCUAUGUGACAACAAAAUAGGCUGACUGAGGAGCUGAUGUCACCAUAGGACUAUAAGAACAAUGCCCGAAAUCAACGUUGAUUAGACGAUAUUAGGACUUAUUGAGAAAAAAAAAAUCAUAAGAGGCCAGAUCUAGUGUGCCGUGGUGCACUUGGGAGUGCAACGUGGGCACAUUAGAUCGUGUAGCUCUUAUACAAAGUUAAGAAUAAUGCAGAAAAUAGAUUUAUAGGAUCUUUGUAUAUUUCGAUUAUAACUUAGUGAAGAAUACACCAAUCUAUUUAAUUUCUUAAUUUUUAUUUUGUUGUUUCAAUAUUCUCACAUUUUCACGUGACAUGGAGGUUCAAAAACACUAGAAUAGAUAUUGUACAUCCAAUAUUUUCCUGUGGGUCAUCCAUGGAGGGUUCUAGUGGGAUUGGAUGUGUAUAGUCGAUGUAAUAAAAUAAUGUAAGUAUCACAGCGUUGUCUCAUCGAAUAUUCGACAGAUCGAUGCAUUUGGACAAAUAUCAUAUGCUUUACAUGAUGAGUUUGGAGGAAAAAAGUCACGGUUGCUGGAAAAUGUGUGAUUCUCAGAAUCGUCAUUAGCUAUAGAGGUUGUCGUUUAGUUCUUAUUCUUGCAAAUCCCCGCCCCUCGCUCCCCGAGUGUCACGUCUAGAUGAAAACCAAUCCACUGCGACAAGUGAUCGCGACCUCAUAUUUAAUGUUAUCUAGUUAGCUUUAUUUACUUAUAAUAAAUCAUUAUCGUUGCUUAUGGACUAAGCAAAGUCCAAGUCUUGACUAAUCUUCUGUGUAGUGUGAGUCUAAGACGUGAUUCAUCACAUUUUUCUUCGCAAAAGAAAAUUAUAUUCAUUAGUCAAAAAAGAUACUUAAGAAGUACGUAGUCUUCGGGACAAAAUAAAUCUGAAAAAUAGAGUUAAAUCCUGAAAAUAAUAAGGAUCAACGGAGCAUUUACAAAGUUAAGCACACACUCAUUUAAAAAGAAUAAAUCUGUCAAGCAAAAUAAGUGGUGGUAGAUUACCGCAUUUCGUAUCUUUAUUAGUAAUAAGUAACACUGAAAAUUCAUUCUCCAAUAACUAAGACAUUGUCAAUUGACAGUGGACACUUAAGUUCAACUUUCUCUAUACCAUCGUUGUACAGAGACAACCAAAAUAGGUUGAAUAAACAUAGAUUUAACAUGUGGAUGACCAAAUUUUCGUGAUUUAAUGAAACGCCAAGAUUCUUGCGAUCAUCAUUGAAGUUGAAAGUAGAGAACCUAUAUACAAACAAAGUAAAAAGGUAUCAAAUCCCUAAAAGCAUAUUUAUUAAACUUCCAGAUCUAAAUUGGGAGAGAAUAGCACCAAGAUCUAAAAUUUGAUCAGGAGAGUUCAAACUCUCAAAUUGAGAGAAUAGAGCUCCCAAAUCUAAAUUGAAGAGAAGAAAAAGAAAGAAGAGAAUAAUAAAACUCAAACAAAAUCAACAAGAGGAAGGGGACGUGAGACUAACUCAAAUCCUCUCCCAUAGCUAAAGGUUAAAGAAGAAGAUAGAAAGAAAAGAGAGGGAGAGAGAAAAGAUUUUUCCACUCUCGGAAGCAAUAAAAACAUAUUCAUUCGCAAUAGAGGCUACUUAAUCUUUUGCAAAAAGGUGAAAGGGUUGUUGUCUUCACGAUGUAUUCACGUUCACUCACCUAAGCAGUUAAUAGGACAUUGUCACGAUGUAUUCCAUCGAAGAGAGUGGAGAAAAGUAAUAAAUUUAUUGUAUGGUGCCAGUUCACUCCUAUACCUUUUGCUUUGGCUAGUUUCUUUUUGACAAUUUGUGAAUAUAAUCAUUUUGAUUUAUGUUGGCUGACAAGCAUUGACAAUUUGCUUUUUCUUUUAUUUUUUUAUAAUUUUUGUUUUAUUUUCCUAUUCUUUCUACUUCUUUUUCCCUUCUCCCUCUGCUAGUCAAUGAGCCUCGGUAAUGGCUAGUGACUAGCCAUAUGCAAGGGCCAAUGAGGUUCAAUCUUGUUAGCUGCAGUUGAGGCUUGACCUUGCUUGAGGCUAGCAAGGUUGAUCCUCACCGAAGGCUAGCGACCACCAAAGGCAGAAAGGAAAAUAAAAUUGAUUUUAAAAAAUUAUUCACGUGAUUACCAACCGUCCUACAGUCAUGUCACAUAGGAUAACUAGCUUUUAUGUCAGUGAUUGCCAAAUAAAAUUAGCUAGAAAAAUUAGAUUAGUAAAUCAUUAAAAAGUUUAAGAUCGAUAAAUUUAUAACUUUUUGGAAAAUUUUCCGGGCCUCUAAUGUAGUAUGAAAAAUGGCUAAUUCACCCGCUUUUCCUUCGACCUGGCAAAAUUGUUAUUUUUCAUCACAAUAAGAUGGCUAUUUGGAAAGUGACAGAGAGAAGCCACGGCCCCCAGUGGGAGAGAUUGAGGGGAUCGCGAUGUUCUUAGCCUUAAACACGGCCUUGUUCUUAGUCAAGGUGCUUUCAGAGAAUAAAUGAAUUUGAGAUGGAACCCGUAAGUCCCCUAUUUGAGAAUAAACAAUGUCGACCAUAGUUAGGAAUUUUCAAAAAGUGAAAUACAAAGCUGAUCAAGAUGACUGGUUGAUAUGACUGAUAGGUUAUACUAUUUAGAUUUAAGAUCCGUAAAUGGUGGGCUUUCUCCCUCAACCUUGCAUUCUGGAAACCUCGAACAGGAAGGAAUAUGGGAAUGCAUAACGCAUCAAACAUGUCUGGUUUAGGUCGAUUAAAAUUCCAUUUGACAUUACCUCAAACAAUUUCGAUAUUUGCCUAUGAACUUUAUUAAAUAACAACUAGCUAAAAUUCUCGAACGGAAAUUUGAGGAACAACUCGGGGCCAAUGGGCCCAUGCAUCACGGGCUCCACAGAAGUACCAUUAUUUGCCAUUCCAUCGAGAAGUGGAAAAAAGCAAAGCGAAAGAUGCAGAAAACGUAGAAAAUAGCAACGCACAUGGAACAUUUCAAAAAUAAUUGAACGACACGUGUCUAGGUGAGAUAGGUCCAAUCCCACUAUAAAUUAUCGUGACUCCGCCUUCUCACCAUGCAAGAACCGUAGAAAACAUGUCUCCGAGAAAGAUCCUUUUGCUUUUCCUGCUUAUGGUGGCGCUCACCACAGCCGCUCUUGCCGAUCAUGGCCCUCCGCAUAAGCCUCCCCAUAAGCCGCCGCAUAAGCCGCCUGCAAUGGAGGAAAGCACCACCCUUGAUGAAACCCUUACCACCUUGGAUGGUGGCAAGAAGAAACCGCCACCCAAAAAGAAACCUCCAAUGGAAGAAACCGCCACCCUUGAUGAGGAAACCCUGACCACCUUGGACGGUGGCAAGCCUCCCAAGAAGAAGCCUCCGCCGAUAAAGCCACCACCAAAGCACAAGCCUCCAACGGGUGUUGAGGACGCCCACAAGCCACCUGGUGGUGGUGGCCACAAGCCACCUGGUGGUGGUGGCCAUAGGCCACCACCUUUGAACUAAUCAUAAGUAGCCAAGUUCGUCUCAUGGCAUAUGCAGAACGUGGUGUACUAGAAUAAGAGCUUGGAUUCAAUCAGUUGGUCAUGCUUACUGCAAUUUCGUGAUAUCGAUAUCAUGUUGUCAUGUAAUUCGUAGUCAUGCGGUCUAGCCAGCUAGAUUUUGGGCAAGUUAAUGUGCAUGAGACGUGUAUCCAUCUUCUGAGCAUUGGAGACUUGAAUAUGAGUGGUUCGCUCUUUAUGUUAUUAACUUCUCCUUUCACAUAAUUGUAGGUGUUUCAUAGCAGUGAAAUGGGCACAUGCCAGUCAUUGA
rnacentral:lncRNA from 1 species